AUGCAUUUAUUAUAAUCCCAUAAGUCAUAUAAAACAUAAUAAAAGCAAAUAAACACAUAAAUUACAUAUAGUAUAUAGCACAUAAGUAUGAUAUCUAGAUGCAAAGAUUCUAAAAAAGGGAGUAAACACAUAAGCACACAAGCGUGCAAACAAAUAAAAGCGAAUAAAGACCUAACUAUUACAUUUGGGGGCUCUAACUACAAUCUAAAAGGGGAGAGAAUGAAAUGAAAUGAAAUAAUAAUCUAACUAUUACAAUUUGGCAUUUAAUCGCCUUUCAAAUAAUAAAAAAUUAAAUUAAAAUAAAUAGACAAAAUUAAAACAAAUAAAGUGAAUAAAUAACUAGAUGAGAUAAAAAAAACAUUCAAAAGAGCAUGCCAUUACGCACAAAAAGUCACAUAGGAGCACCUAGGAUCAACUAAAAUCAAAAUAAUGGAGUAGAGUGUACCUCCCUUGAAUUUGUGAGCUAAUGAAAUGAAAUUUCCCUUAUUUAGCUUCUAAUCACAAAGAAAAUGAUUAAGGUAUCGCUUUAAUUAACAAAUAAUCAUAAGAGAUGAAAAUAAACAUGAAAUUGAACAAUUAAAGCAUUUAAAUGAAAGUAAACAACCCAUAUUCAAGAAAUUAAAACAAGUAAGGACCUAAUUGGAAUAAUUAUAGAAGUUUGAGGGGUCAAAUUAUUAUUAUUUCAAAUAUUAAGGGUCUAAAUUAAAAUAAAAUAAAAUUAAGGGCUUAAGAUGAAGCCUACCAAAACAAAAUGCUAACAUUCAUAAAAAAGUCAAAAUCCUCUCAUCAAACCCCAAAACAAAAAUACUACCCAAAUUUUAAUUAUUUUACUACUCCUUUCGUCCCUUUCAUUUGGUUAUACUUUCCAUUUUGGGAUGUCCCAAAACAAUUGUUAUGUUAGAAAAGUCAAAGCAACUUUUACACUUUUUUUCCAAUAUAACCCUUCUUUUUAAUCAUACAUUCAAAUUUAAAAUUUGAAUUUGAGGGGUAAAAUUGGAAAGAGAAGAACAAACAUCACAAUCAAAUCACUAUUUUUAAAAAGUUGGAUUCCCCAAACAUAACCAAAUGAAUGGGACGGAUGGAGUAUAAUUCAAAUAAAAACUAUAAAUCUAUCAAAAAUUAUUAAACCUCAAAUUGCAUCCUAAAAUUCAUAAAUAGUCUGCCCAAAAAUCACAUUAGAGCAUAUCAAAGAAAAAUAGCAUUUUAAAAGGACAAAAUUGAUUAAUUUUUUUAAUUUUUUGGGUCAUAGUAGAAUUAAGUCAAAAUAUGGGGGUCAAAAUGCAAUUUCGGCAACUUUUCAUGCAAAAGCUUUAAAGAAGCUAUUCUUCUUCGCUCGUUUUUUCCUUCUGAAAUUUUGCAGCCUAUUCAACUGAGGUAUCUUAUUCAAUCUCAAACCAAGCCAGCAAACUCAUUAACCCAACCCAUUAAACUUCAAAACACUUCAAAACAGUUUGAUUAACACAACACAAAAUGCAGGAGACAAGUCAUUGAAGAUCAAACGAAGAACAAAAAUGGAAAAACAUGCAAUCAACCGAGAACAAAACCAGUUUUCUGGUGAAUCCAAGAUGGGUUUGUCAAAAGCUAACACCUUUCAGCCAAACCAUUGAACUAUCAAGUGUCAAACCGUCCUAAUCCUUUGACAAUUUCAAGUCAUCAAAAGCCACUUUCUCCAAAAACAUUAGGAACCAUGCGAAAAGAAAACAAAAUCCAAGAAACCCAUUUAUGAAAGAGAAAGCUCACGCAAAUGGCCCCAAGAUCUCAUGAAAAGUGUUAAAUCAACUGAUAAGAGAAGUUAUUGUUACCCAUAAAUGAUUGAGACGCCGAAUCUAUGCGAGAAAAACCAAAUGGAAUUCACCAAAAGUUCCGUCGCAGGCUUCCCAGGGUUGAUGAUCUCGUGAUUUGGAGCUCUAAUUUGAAGGGGUUAACGGUGUUUUUUGGAGAAAAAUUCAAGAGAAAAGCUGUUUCUCUACACCUUUAUAUAAUGUAGAAAUAAAGAACUUGCUUAAAUGUUAAAAUCGAAGCAAGAAUAUGGAUCCAAAGAGGCCUGCUGCAUCAACCCGGUACCAAAAUUUUCCAGCAAUUUUUCUGCUCUCGUUUCUCUCUUUUUCCUCUCAGAUUUCUCUCUCUUUUGCUGUUUUUUCUUUCUUCAGCCGCCUCUCCCCUUUCUUGCUCUCCCCGGAACCUCCUUUUUCCCUCCUCGCUUUUUCUCUUCUCCCUUUCUUUUUUCUCCUUUCCCUUCUUUUUCUUCCCAGCCGAAACCCUUUUUUAUUCCUCUUUCUCUUGCCCGAAGCUCCUCCUUUCUUCCUCUCCAGAUUCCCUCCUCUUACUCGAAGCCUCUGGUUUCUCCUCUCUGGGUCUGCUUCUCCCUUUCUUUUUUCUUUUCUUUCUUUGCUCGAAGUUCUCCUCCCAAUCUCUUUCACUCCCUCCCUUUCCUUGCUUCCUCUCUUGAUCCUCAGCCGUCACCUCCUCUCCACCUCUCCCUCUCUCGGUCUUUCUCUCCCUUAGUUUUUUCCUUUUUCUCUCGGCCUUGCCUGCAGCUCCUCUCCCUCUUUUCUUUUUUUUUUUUCUUCUUGUUUGUCUGUUCCGUCUUUUUUUUUUUCUCCUCCAGCCAACCCUCCUAGUUUUUUCCUUGCUCUUUCCCGUAGCCUUUUUCCCUUGUUUCUUUCUCUUUUUUUUUUUUUCAGUUUUUUCUCCAAAUUUCUCUCAAAUCAACAAGUGUCCUGCCACUUAGCUUAGCAUGUGUUGUGGUGUAAAAAAUAUGGACAUUUGUCUAAUGCCUAUCCAUCCCACUUAACUAGUUUGCAUGGCCUCCACCUAUUUUCUUUUUAUUUUGUUAUUUUUUGUUUUUCAAAACAAGUUUAGGGUAACAAAAAAAGAAGUUAAAUGCAUCACUAAUUUUCAUUUUAUUGUCAAGCACUUGAAUUUAAAAAUAUUAAAACAAAUUUUUUAUGAGAAUUUUCUUUUUAUUUCAGAAAUUUAAUGCAAAAAUGUCUUAAAAAGAAAAAUGAUGAAGCUAAUUUACUAAAAUAAGCAAAAAAUAAACACUAACUAUCAUUUUGCAAACUUAAUCAACUAAAAUAAAAUAAAAUAAAAAUAAGAAUAAAUAAUAAAAUUAAAUUUAAAAUUAAAUAAAAUAAAAUUAAAAUUUUGGUGUCUACAAUGUGAACGAUUCUGCACCACCCGGUCUACAAGUGGGAACAUACAUCGAAUCUAUGCAAAAUUUUGCCUAUGAAUUGUAAUUUUUUGCCUGGUGUGAGGAACUUGGAACGUAAUAUAUAACAUUGGAUCCAGGGGACGGAAAAUUAAAUAAGGGAAUGAAAUUUAUUGUAAUAAUGUUUGUUGCACAUUUUUGACCAAUUUCUAGCCUCCACAUAUGAGAAGGCAUGUCAGAACCUAUUGUAGAGCGACGUGGAAUUUGUCAUCGUGCCAAAUCAAGGGCUAAUCAUUCGGUUUGUCAGUUCAACACAGGAUUGUUCAUCAAAGCAAAACAUUUAUUUGGAUAGUGAAUUAUUUGUCAAAAAUUAUUUACUUGCAUAACCACAUUUUUAUCUCACAUAUAUCAUUUAAAAAAGUGUUACUAUAUUACUUUAAAAAAUUUAUCCCAAUUAAUCUAUUAUCCAAAUACAAUAUAAUUUAUUUUAGGGUCCACUAUGUUCCUUCUCAUUUCUAUUCCGACAACAGCACAACUAAUACAAACGAUCCAUAGACUCCUUAAACGCUUUCUAAUCUCUUUAUCACUCCCAUUACAUGUAGUCUUUUCAUUUUCUCCUGGUGCUACGGUAUCUAUAUCACACAUUUUUCUUUUUAGACUAAUACCUCAGUGAUUGUUUUCACUACUAAAUGAAGUAGCUAAAAAUAAAUGAGAUAAAAUGUCUAGUCUAAUAAUACUUUUGCUUAAAAAAAUGUUAUUAUGCAUAUCUUUAACAAAUUCAUUGAUAAUUUAUUAAAUUAGUAUGUAGUAAAGAUAAUAACAAAGCGAAUAUAUCAAACAGAGACAUACCAAAAUUUAAGUGAUUUGGUCAAACGAUCUACAUCUAAAAGCACUAACUACUGAAAGAGAGCACAAAAAUCUAGAAAAGUGUUCCUAAGCCUGAAAGUACUAAAUGCUGAAAAUGCAAGAUAGUUCAAAAAAAAAGGGACUUAAAGAUCCAAAUGCUUAAAUAGCCUACUAACUCACUCUUUUAGUUUGAUAUUUAAUUUAAAAACCUUUCUUAAUUUGUGAACUAAAGUUUCCAAAAUCUCUCGAGUUGGUGCCUUUGACACAUUUCAACUCAAAUAAACCCACUAUAUUUAUAACCACUCAAAGAAGAGAUCUUUUGAUAAAACUCCCAAUAUAGAAUACAAAGGCAAACGCAACAACAAGAUAUAACUUAACAAGGGUUACAAUAAAAUUAUUUUUAGUAAAAAAACAAUUUUAUUGUAACUCUUGUUAAGCUGUGUCUUUUAACAUCACGUACUAAUUUAAUAAGUUACCAAUAGAUUUGUUCAGACAUGUAUGAGAGCACAUUAAAAAAUAUAUAUAUUAAAACAUGCAUUUCAACUCUUCUAUCUUUAGCUACUUUUUAUUUGUUUCACCUUUAUUACACAAAUUUUUUAUUUUAUCAUUUACAAAAUUUGAAAAGAAAGAUUAUUUUUUUUAGCAUCUACAAUGCAAAAGUAGGCCAUAAAGGAAUAACCAAAGUGAUUAAGGUUAGCACGCGCACUAUAAAACAUGAAAUAACAAACGAUGACUUAUGAGUAACUAUUUAAAAUCCAAAGAGCAAAUUGCGUGAAAUAUCACUAAACUAUUGCGAGGUGUCGGUUCUGAUCACUAAACUUUUUUAUUAGUAAAAAAUGUCACUAAACUAGUAAAUCUGUACCGUUUUAGUCAUUCCGUGUAUUUAUGCCUUUAGGAGAGAAGGAAAGUCACUUUUUGAGGGGCAAUUUUGUCCGCACAAUCUUUUCCUUGAAGCUUUUACAUAAUCAAUGGUUCUGUAUCCGGCAAAGGCAUAAAGGAGCUGGCUGAUCUAAAUGGUAGCACCGUCAAGACGAUGAUGACAUUUGGUGAGGCAGUGAAGUACAAAAGCUCCCUGGAUGCAUUUGCUCAGAUCUUGAAGAAUGAGGGUGCAAGGUCUCUCUUCAAGGAAGCUGGUGCAAACAUCUUACGUGCUGUUAUUGGUGUUGGUGUGCUUGCUGGCUAUGACAAACUGCAAAUGCUUGUCUUUGGAAAGAAGUAUGGAUCUGGCGGUGCUUAAGAGUUGGUUUUUUGUCCUCAAGAUUUCAAAGAUUAGGCAAUGAGAAAAUCUCCCGUCUCAGAGAAGUUUCAACCUAUCCAACAAAUCAGAGAUUCCAAAAUAGUUGGUAAAUCCAUCUCAGAUUUGGGCACAAAAUCACAAGAGUCUGAUGAGUUAAAAGGGAGAAGGAGCUACCUAUAUUGUUCAGGGGUCGUUUAUGAAGACAAACUUCAACCAAAAAACUGAACUGACAAAUUUGCCCCUAAAAAAUCAAGUUUGCAACUCAUGUGAUCCAUCCCCACCAGCACCGUCGCGAUUGCUUCACUCAGUACCGCGACAUGAAAGCCAUGGACCCAAUUGAACUGUUAGGGAUACUUCCAACUUGCAGCUUCGGGAACUUCUGUUUCAAGAAGUAUUUGGCAAUUGUUCAUCCCAAAAUAGAGGAGUCGUUAUUCGGGGACUUGGAGCAGCACCGCCUAGUUUAGGCCGGAAGCCACCCCAGGAGUCAAUUUUAUGGGGAGUUUUUGGGCCUAGUUAAGGCAGUUUGGCUGCUACAUUUUCUGGCAUUUUUUAUGGACCCACCAACUAGUCAUUUUGAGGCUACUAAGGGAGCUGAUUUCCAUCCGCAGUAUAUGGACAGUGUGGUGAGGGUUCUUGGUGGUGGACGAAUGGGUGGUGGUGUGCCUCAGGUGGUGGGCUUCCCGGUGAGCCCUGGGUUUAAACUUGGAAAUGGGUCACUAAUUAAAGCCAGGGUAUACCUCGUUCCCAAGAACGGGUACUGAAUUUGUACUACUAUUUAGCCUAGUUAAAACUUAGAAGACAUGGACUAGUGCCUCUGUGUCCGAAUGGCAUCGGGAUUGUGCCGUUUGUUGUUGUUCUCUGAUGAGCUUGGAUUGAAGGUCGCAGCUGGACUUUGGUCGGGAUCAAAAAUAGGAGGGAAGGGGGGGUUCCAGUAGGAGGGGAGAAAAGAGAAGGCAGGGUGUAGAGGGAAGAGAGAGGAGGGGAGGGAAGGAAGAGGGAGGAGGAGGAAGAAGAAAGAAAAAGGGAGAGGAAGGAGAGCGGAGGCGGAAGUGAUGGCGGUGGGUGGCAAUGUAGGUGAUGGGUGGUUGUGGGUGAAGAAGAACGAGGGUAUAAAUUUUUUAACAGUUGUGUAGAUGAAAUUGCCUCUCAAAAAGUGACAUUUCGUCUCUCUUAACGGCAUAAAUACACGGAAUGACUAAAACGUUAUAGAUUUAUUAGUUCAUUGAUAUUUUUGGCUAAUAAAAAAGUUUAGUGAUCAGAACCAACACCUCGCAAUAGUUUAGUGACAUUUCGCGCAAUUUGCUCAAAUCCAAAUUCUAGUAAGGUAUUUUUUGCUUUUUUUUCCCCUCCUAGUUUUCUUGCAUUAAUUUAUUUUGCUUGUUUUUCCAUAAUAUAAAGAAUUUUUCAAAAAGUUGCAUUUGUGAAAUGCAUACUUUCCAAAAGCUGCAUUUAGGAAAUGCAACAUUUCGUGGACUUUUUUUUUGCUCCACUUUAUUUGUUUUAUUCUACAAUAGAAACAUUGCAUUUGCGAAAUACAAGUUUUCGAGAAGCAUUGCAUUUUGCUAUUAUGUUUUUCACCCUUUGGGAAGAAGUUUGGCAAGUGACAUUGUUUGGGAUUUUUUUUUCUUUUGAAAACUAGCACUAAUUGGGAAAUUACUCCUGUAUUUGCCUUUUCCCAUCUCCGGACCAAAUAAUUUACAAACGGGAAAAUGCACUUUUCAUCUUCAAUAUUUAAGGUGUUAAUUAAUUUCGUCCCUAAAGUUUCAUGUGAAAUACAUUUGAUCCUCAUAGUUUUAUAAUUUUGACCAAUUUUGUCCCUAAAAUUUAUGUAGAACACAUUUCAUCCUCAUAGUUUUAUAAGAUCUACCAAUUGAGAAUAAUUAAAUGGUUGUUUAACAAUUUGAACAUAAUAUCAUCACAUGUCCUGUUCGUAAUUGUAUUAUUAAUACUUAAUUCAAUUAUUGAUUAAAUUACAGAAAUAACAAGAAAUAUUUUUGGAUAGGAAACGAUCACUUUUUUUAAUGUGAUAUGAUGUAUUUGAGAUAAAGCAAAUAGAUUGAAAGAUAAAUAGAUAAUUAAAAAACUUGUAUAUGAUGCAACAAAACAAAAUUUGAACAGUGAGGUUGUUUUUUUUCCUAAUGGGUAUGCCAUGGUCAAGUGACGACAUUUCAUUCAAAUUGUUUCACAAUCCAUCAAUUGUCCUCAAUCAGCCAAAUUUACGAAACUAUGAAGAUGAAAUGUGUUUGAGUGAACUUUAAGGAUGAAAUUAGUCAAAAUUAUAAAAUUACAAGGAUGCAAUGUGUUUUGCAUGAAACUUUAGGAACAAAAUUGGUUGACACCUUAAACAUUAGGGAUAAAAAGUGCAUUUUUUCCAUUUACAAACCGAUCCUUAAUGGUUUUGGACUCACCACUUAUAAAGUUGGGAAAUUUAACAAAUUGGUCCCUAAUAUUUUCACAAAAAACUUUUUUAGUCUCUAAUAUUUAAAAUCAGUCAGAAUAGCCCCUAACAUAUAAAUUAUGAGCCAAUUUGGUCCUAAUUCUCGCAUUUGCUCAUUUUUCCUGUUAAAAAUAACACACCUGUCUCACAUGGAUAUAAUUUUAAGAGCAAAAUCGGAAAUAUUCGUUAAUCCAUAGUUAUGCAUCCCUCAAACUCUUGCACCGCUUCUUCAACUGGUUCUCACUUCUCAGUCUACUGCUACUAUGACAUCACAGAAAUCGACGGCGUCAACACCAAUGAACUCUACAAUGCCGUCCAGCUGUACCUCAGCAGAUCCGCUUCCAUCUCCGGCAACCGCCUGAGCCUCACUCGCUGGCUCAACUCCACCUCAGGCUAUCCAACAAUGACCGCCUCAUGGACAACUACAAGGGCGUGACGGUUCUGUGGGAACACAGUCACGCAGAGACAAGCCCAGACAUUUUCUUGGCGGCCGUUGCCCGAAGAAAAGCGGGGCUUCACUUUGCGCGUGAAGAAGAAGGAUAAGUCGGUUAUUUUGGGAUCUUACCUAGUUUUUGUCACGGAAAAAGCUAGCGAAAUACGUCGGAAUAAUCAAGAUCGGUUGCUUUACACCAAUUCACGUGGAGGGUCACUUGAUUCCCGAGCCCAUCCUUGGGAGUCCAUACCCUUUAAGCAUCCUAGCACUUUUGACACGCUAGCUAUGGAUCCGAUCAAAAAGGCCGAAAUCAUGGCUGAUCUUAAAGAUUUUGCUAAUGGGGAAGCAUUUUAUCAGAGGAUUGGCCGGGCUUGGAAGAGGGGAUAUUUGUUGGACGGACCACCUGGGACGAGUAAGUCUAGCAUGAUUGCUGCAAUGGCUAAUUUCUUGGGGUAUGACAUUUACAAUCUUGAGUUGACUGAGGCGCAUACCAAUUCGGAGCUGAGGAAAUUGUUGAUGAAAACCAGUUCAAAAUCCAUUAUUGUGACUGAAGAUAUUGAUUGUUCAAUUAAUUUGACUAAUAGGAAGAAGAGCAGAGGUGCUGCUAAUUCCGACGGACAAGUGGGUGGUCCGAUUUUAUCCUUAAAAUAUGUCCAUGUGAGAGAGGUGUGCAAUUUUUAGUCGGAAAAAUAAGCAAAUACGAGCACUGGAAUCAAACUGACUCAUAAUUUAUAUGUUAGAGACUAUUUUGAUUGAUUUUAAAUAUUAAAAACUGAAUUUUUUUUUUUUUUAUAAAAAUAUUAAGGAUCAAUUUGACAAAUUUCCCUGCAAAGUUUACACUUCCACUCCACUGGCCCCACGUUGUUGUCCUCAGAUUUUCAUUCUUUUAUUCCCAUCAAUGCCAGGGAGAGUUCCGCUGGCACAGAAGCUAUCGGACCACGUGUUUUCGUAUUUGGAUGCCUGCACGCCCUUGUCCUCAAUUUCACAACUCAUUUGCAGAGUUAAUCUUUUUUUUUUAUUAUUAUUAUUUCACAACUAGCAUGCCAAAUAAUACAACUGCAUUUAAGUUUAGAACUGAAAUAUAUAAUCAUUCACUCAAACUUAGACAAAUAUAUAUUAUUGUCAUACAAACCCAAGUCCAACAAUGCAAAUAAAAUUUAUUUUCUAACAAGCACAGAACACUUUGCUUGCUUUCAUCCAGCCUAGCUUAAUGCUGUAGCUUGUUCAAAGCUACGAUAGGAAUAUUACUGCAUGGCCAUCUUAAUUAUGGUUCUUGAGCCUGCGCAAGAUUAAAUGAGCUCCAUACUGAGGCUGCACGGUGACACGUCUAAUCGGGGCAUGGACAUAAGAUGGAGAGAGCUCUGAGGAAAGAGUACGUAGGAUUAUUGCGAUAGCCAUUUUUAUCGAGUACAGUGCAAAGUUAUUCCCAAUGCACAUCCUUGGUCCGAAGCUGAAGGGAAAAUAAGCACCCUGGAUUUUUGUUGCCUUCAUAAUCCCUUCAGAAAAUCUCUCUGGUUUGAAUUCCAAGACAUCAUCACCCCAUAAUUCAGGGUCAUAAUGGAGCAGAAUUUGUGGCAUCAUGACCUGUACUCCAGCUGGAAUCAAAUACUUCCCAAGUAGUGUAUCUUCGGAAGCCACUUUGGAGAGCUCAGCUAGUGGCGGAUAUAACCGUAGAACCUCGUUCAAGAUCAUAGAUACCUAUGUACGAGUAAUACAAUUGAGUGGCCAGAAAAUACUAUACAUCAAGAAAGAAAAUAAAAAUCAAGAAAUUUCAUAAAGUUUUUCUAAUAGGUGCCUAUUAUCUUCCCAAUCUAGCGCCCAAAACUUCUGCAUGAUUUAGGAACUUGAAGGGAGACUUACAAUUUUCAGGUGGUUUAUACCAUCAUAGUCCGGCAUUUUGUCCCCAAAAACUUGGAGAACUUCUUCUCUUGCACGGUCCUGCCACUCAGUGUGCUUACUCAAGAGGACGAGUGUCCAGAGGACCAAAGUUGAGCUGGUGUCCUGCCCUGCCCAAUAGAACAGUUUGCACACAGCAUAGAUAUCUUCAAUGCUCAAUCCUGCACUUUUUUGGUUGCCCUGCAGCUUGAUCUCAUUGAGAUUGGAUUCCAACAAUAACCCCACGAAGUCAGCACCACCAGAUUCUCCUGCCUGCAUUGCCUUCAACUUUCUAUUGAUGAUGUCUGUAAUCUUAACUCUUAAUUCUCUGUCUAAUGCUCUCAUCCUGAGAUUGCUCUUAGUUGGCAGAAACCUUCAGCAGCAAAUUCAAACACAAAACUAAUUAUCUAAUAAAUCAGAUAAUAGUUCAGUACAACAUGUGGAUCGAUUUUCUGAUUCUUGACUAUAUUCCAUUGUUUGAUUGAUUACUGCUUGUUAAUUUACUCAUUUACUUAACUUUUAUUCUUAAUUUGGUCAUUUAUUCUUAACAUUGAUUAAAUGAACUUAAUUAGUUCGCAAAUCUAGUUUAUACAUACAUAUAUAUGCGUAACAUGUGUUAGUAUAUAUGUAUGUGCAUAUUGGCAUAGCCAUAUUCCAAUAUCGGAUUAACAUGGGGCAGACUUGGACAGUUUCUCCUUCACCACCCAUUUUGUAUAGACAUGCUUUUAAGAUUAUAUACGUAAAGGCAGGUUUACUAGUUAUACUUUUCAAAUUGAUAAUAUCUACACAAAAUUCCAUUAUAGCAAAUGAGUUUCUUCAUAAGGUAAUAGGAACAUAAUAUUAAUUAAAAUUUUUUUCCUGCAUGAAGUUGAUAAUUAAUUUUUAAAAAAUAAAAUAAAAUAAAAUAUUUAAAAAAAGAGGCUCAAGGAACAAGACAUGCAUUUUGUGUACGUUAUAUUUAUAAAGAAAAAAAAAUUUUGGUUAAGGGUAAACUUUACCUCUUUCCUGGAAAGUAAACUGAGUUUACUUUUUCCCACGUAUGAUUGGCAAGUUCUUUCAGAAGCCCGACAAUCUUUUUUCCUUCUUCGCCGCCAAUCCCAAAUAGUGAUGUUGAAAUUGAAGUUGCUGAAAUCGAUUCAACUCCAGGCCACACGUCCACCUCUGCUGCACCCCCCUCAGGAAUCACACUAGUCCAUUUGUUAACCGCAUCGAUGCAGCUCGAUUGAAACAGUGGUAACAUGCUCUAUAAAACAGGGAACAGUUAAAGGGGUCAUAUCAACUACUAACCGGUGCAUGCAGAGUUGAAAAUGCGAGACAAUAAUGUUGAAAAUCACACCUUUAACUUUUCCAAAGUGAAAGCAGGGUUAGUGAUCUUUCUAUACUUGGCCCAUUCUUCACCCUCUACAGCGCCCAUUCCACCGAAAAGGAUGUGGAUGAGUGGAUCAAGAUCGUGAAAACUCUUGUGAAAUGUCGCGUGUCUAACCAAGGCGUCUUUGGCUAGUGUUGGAUCUGUCACUGUUAUCUUGGGGAAUCUUCCAAUCCACAUGAAAGAAUUUUUUCCUAAAUUUAGUUCAGCACAAAACGGUUUGCGUUAGUAUUCCAACCAAAAAAAAUAAAUAAAAAAAGAAGAAGGAGAAGAAAUCAAAAGAGAACGCGAGCAAAAUCACAAUUAAGUGGUGCUUCAGAAAUUAAAAGUUACGUACCAUGAGAUUGGACAGAGUUGUAGACUUCGGGCAUCGUGCGUUUUACGAUAUUGUCUCCAAGCUGAAUAGGCUUGGAAUGAGCUUCCCUGAGUAAUUUUGCACUUUCAUAGAGGUCUCCUCGUAAUAGCCUGUAGGGGUUCCCUUUCAAACCUUGUUCCCUAAGGCAUUUCUCAAGCUUCUUUGGUCUGAACCAGUACAAAUCAAGCAUCCCAUAAAGCCAGUAAAUGGCAUAACCUACGAAUCCCAAGAUUGCUAUUAAUUUGAACCCCAUGACUUCCAUUUUCGUUGGUUUAGUAGCAGGUUCUAUGGCUUUGUUUCUUGGGUGGGAAACGAAUAUAUAUAGGAUGACAGGCGCUGGAGUCGGGUAUUACUGGAACUUAAACCGAAAUCAUUUAAAAGCUUGCACCGUUGGUAAUAAUUGCGAAUCCCAAAAUAUUGCGAAUCCCAAAAUGCGACAACAAUUUCCCUGCCGCGGAAGUAUAUAAAAAUCUAAGAUUCUUUCACCAUUGAAUGUCAAGUGGAUUUCAAACAUUUUGACAAGAAAAUAAUGGUGAACCAUAGCAUUAAACUAGUGUAAUUUAAGAGUUUUCCUGUUUUCUAUAUUUAUUGUUGUGGUUACCAGUAAUGAUUUUGUGCUGUCAUCUUUUUGCUGGUUAUAUUGUUCUAUAGUUUUAACCUGGCUAUUACUCACCCUUAGAACUUGUUAAUUACCAUUUUAUUUUUGUAAAUCUUUCUGAUGACUGGCAGGGUCCUCUUUUCUUUUCUUUUGUUAAUCCCCUCUGUCUACUGGAUCUCCUUUCUCCUCCGCUUAGUUUCUUCUACACCUUCACUUCUGUAUUGAUCUUGAGCAGGCUGUUAUUUACCGGUCUUUCUCUGUAUUGAUUUUCACUCUGUUACAAGUGAGGACGAACGAGAAGAUUUGAUUCUGGUACCAUUUUCUAACUUGCCACUUUCUUUAUUUGGCCUUUUGUCUUGUUCAUAUAUAUGACCAAUUAUUCAUGGACAGGCUAGUGGCCCUUUGAUUUUAACAUGUGCAACGUGAUUCCUUGUGGCCAUGUCCAAUUCUGAAUUAUUGCGCAGCCAUUUCAAAACCUGCAUCAUUUGUUGGGACAUGGCCAACGUUGGGACCAAUCACAAUCUGGCAGAUAGCUAAACUGAAAAAUUUUGCACAUGCAUCACAAGAACAUUGAAAUUGCGUAUGCAUCACAGGAUCAUUAGAGAUUCCUCAGGCAUGUGAAUCAAAGGUGUGACGACCCCACCUCGCUCUAGAGUUUAACGGACCGCCUGCCUAACUCUUGUCAGGAUUCACUCACUCAAAUUAACUUCAGAGAUAAUAUUUCCAUUAAACAACCGCACAUUCAGUUUUAAGUACAAAGCCAACUAGAUUAGAAUGUAAAUUCAUUCGUUAAAAGAAACAAAAUACAAGUUUUAAAUAGCGAUAGACAAAUUUGACCACCCAAAACCAUCUAUCCCUACUCGAGGCUUCUUCCAACCUCAACUCCAGCAAGGAAAACAAAACUAAGGGAAUGAGCUCAUGCCCAGUGAGGUUUUCCAAACAAGCAACAUUCAAUAAACACUUAAACCAGUAAAAAUUAAACAAGUAAAGAACACUUCCCUGUAUAAUUACUUUCAAAAGGAUAGGGUGCUCAUUACGAGCCUUUUAUGUAACACUAUACAUUUCACAAUAUAAUAACUCAGUCAAUAUAAAAGAAUACAAGCUCCUUCUGAGGGUCAUUUCAAUCCCACUGCACACUCCGCCAAAACCACCCCCUUAUAUCCUUCAAAUCAAUAAACAAUCUCCUACAUUCAUUAUUAAGUUCAAUAAUCUCCAAACUUCAGGGUAAUACUUGAAUAUAUCGAAAUACUUACCCAAAGCUACCGUCCUACUCAACCAAACCCUUUGCUAGCUCGAAUAACCCGUUGAACAGAAGGUUUUGGGGCCCAGUUCAACCGGUGUGGUAAAGUACACAUACGGCUUAUAUUCAUACACAUUUACAAUAAUACUUGGUCAAUUGUCAACGUUCAAACUCAACUAAACCGAGUGUGAUAAAGUACACCUCCGACUUAGAAGGCGAAGGUCAAUUGAGAUACACUUUACAAUGAAUCGCUAGCAAUAUUCUAUAAUAAGCACAUUUAUCACAUAACACCACUUAAGUAAAAUAUAAGCAGUUUAGACACACAAAUUCGAAAACACUCACCUAAAAUAUUUUGAGUUCACACCUCAAUACUUGGACCCUCCGCUGAAUCUCCCUCUGCCCCUGAGAUAUUUAUAAACCUAUUAUUUUUUCCAAUUGGUGAAGUUAAGGCUCACAUGAUUAUUUUGACUAAAGUAUAUAUAUGUGUGUGUAUAUAAUCCAAGAUGUUUAAUUGUAUAUAUAUAUUUAGGAGGAGUUUCAAGGUGAUUAUAUGUCAAUAAAAGUUGGGAUUUAGGUUCUAAGAAUCAUUUAGAAUCGAGGUGUAAAGUAAGUAAGUUAAUUUUCUAGGAUUUCGUAGUUUGGGGAUCAUAUGAAGUUCCUUGAUUUUACCCUAGAUUUUUGGAUGAGAUUUAUAGGUAAAACUUUGAUAAGGUAACUUAGAGGAAUUUGAUCAGUUUUGGUUCGUUUCUACCUUAGAAAUUUAAAAUUAAAAGCUAGAAUCUAAGUACUAAGUUAGGAUUAUUCAAAACGGGUUUUAGCAAGACAUGCUUCAUGUUUUUGGUCCAAAGUUCACUAUUUCUUGGUUCAAACCUCCUAAAAUCCAACCUGCAUUUUACCAUUAUACCUAAUAGGUUGUUCUUAAUUCAAAGUUUGGUCAGAAUUUUCAGUGAAAGUUUAGAAAUUAGUUUGAAAUCCUCAACCAUUCGAAUCGACUCAAAAGGGUCUAACUAGUUGACCAAUUUAGAUUUCUUUCCUCAAAACUCAAUGUUUCUUGUUCUAGUCAGGAUAAGUGUAAAAUACAGGGCAAAAUGGAAGAUUAUAGAGUAUUCUUGACCAAUAUUUGCACAAUUUCAGUUCACAUAAUAGAAAUCAACUAAAAGAAAACACAGCCACUCUCUCGGCUACAAAUCACUAAGGACAGCCAUGUUUCUUUCCCAACUUUUCAUUCAAUCUUCUAAAUUAUCAACCAAAUCCGACAUGUACUUACUUAUAUACUGAAAUGAGGUCAUGAAAUUUCGAAAUUCAACAAACAAUAAUCACAGCUAUAUCCCUUCGGACAAGCUAACAACCAAACUUUCUUUCCUCUUGGCCAAAGUUGGAAAUUCCAGCGAGAAACCAGCCAUAAAACUCAAUUUUUACCAUAGAAACUCACAUGCAUCACCCUAACAAUAUGAGACAAGGCAUAAAGCAUGGAUUUCAGUUAUGAUCUAGCAAAAUUUCCAAGAAAAUAACCAAAGUUGCCACGUUCUUCUUUCCUCCUAGUUUGCUGUCUUGAUAUUCCAGAUUUGUUGCUGCUUUAAAGUUCAUACUUUCUUCCUUUUAACUUCUCAAAUGUCACAUGCAUGAUAAGGUUAAUGUGUUAUAAGGUGCAUUAAAUCACAAUAUGAAAGUUUGCAGCCAAAAUCCAUGGAGAAAGCUGGGAAAAUCCUUUCUCAUCCUUCUCGGCUAAAGCUGGAAAAAUUUCAGCAAAUAGAUAGUUUGGAAAACGAACUUUUCCCCAACAAAUUCUUUAUUUUUUUCACUCAAACUCAUCAUGCAUGUGGUGAUUAUUGUGGUAUGAGGUAUAUUGAACAACAAUAUGAAAUUUGCAGCCAAGAUUUGAAGAGAAAAACUCAAAAAUUCUUUCUUUCCCUCUCUCGGCCAUCUCAACAGAUUCCAGCAAGCUUUCUUCAACAAUUUCAGCCAAGAUUACCAAUGUAUUUACCAGAUUGAAAGGCAAAUACCUUGUAAGACAAGAGAUAAACUUAUAUCAUGCAUUUGCUAGUAAGUUUCUCCAAAAAUUUCAAAUAACAAGCUGCAUAUCUAGCUCUCACUUCCUCGGCCAUAACAGAAUUUUUCAGCAAAUGAGCAGUCAUUAAACAGGUUUUUCUUCAGCAAAACUCACUUUUCUUAUCUAAAACCAACAUGCAACAUACAUAAUUAAGAUUAUUGGAAGAUUGAGGGGUUUUAUUACAAGUUUUACCUCCCUUUCUGUGAAAAUCUAAGCUGGAAAAUGCGGACAGCCUAUCCUCUCCUGGCUCCUCAAGAAAACCGCACCAGGCUUCUCUUCCUUCUCCCCUCAAUUCGGCUAGUAUAAACACCAAGAGGCUACAGCUUCCUCCUCACUCUCAACUCUCUUUUGUGCGUGGGAAUAGGGUGAGAAUAUGGUUCUCUCUCUACCUCACUUUCUCUCGGUUUCAGUUGGAAGCAAAGAGGAACCAGAAAUGCUUUUCCCUCUCUCUCGGUUUAAACAAAAGAAAGACAAAUGGUUUCCUUUCGGUUUCAAGUCAAGAAGAAAAAGGAAAAGCUUGUUGGUUGCAUGGUAAUUCUACCACAUUCCUAGGGCCAUAUGGUCAUUUAACAAACUCUUGAACAUUUGGCAAAAAAAAAAAAAAACUAGACGUUUGUCAUUUGCAUGAUUUGUCUCCAAACAUUAUUCGACUAUGGCCAAAGUAAUUCUAGUAAUCACAUCAUUGCCCCAUUAAUUUGUUUUGAGUAGUAUAAUUUCUAUAAAGGUAUUCAUACAAUAAUCUAAAGUAUCCCUAUGCACUUUAAAUUAUAAAGGAGACAAGUAAACACAUAAAUCAAUCAAUGAUAUGGUAUAUGCAAUGCUUUCGAUCUUUAGAAGAAAAUGUGAAAUGUAUGAAUAAAUUUUCCGCCUCUCACAAAAGGCUAUUGCAGAAACAUUGGAAAUGCUACCAAUAUCCUCUCUGAACUUUGGGGUAUUUGAGAUGGGUUGGAAUUGGCCUGCUCACUCAAUAUAUCUCAUCUUGAAGUUGAAAUAGACUGUGUGGAUAUUAUAUCUAUGAUUAAAUCUACUGAAAAUGUUUAUCACUAUUUACAUCUAUCCAUUAUGGAUUGCACUAUUGCAGAUUCUUCUUCUCGCAGCUUCGGAAAGUGAGAAUCUCCCAUGUCUAUCGUGAGGCUAAUAGAUGUGCAUAUCAACUGGCUAAGAUGAGAAGCAAGCAGAAUAGACACUUGACCACUUUUGAUAAAUGUCCUCAGAAGUUGGUUUUGUUUAUGAUGAGAAUAUCAAAGGAGUCCGUCUCCUCGUGGUAUUCCUAUGGCUUGUAAUGGCUAGUGAAACCAUGGUUCGCCAUUGUGGGUCGCGUUGCGAUCUCGGUUGUUUCAUAUUCGUCGCGGUAUAUCGGGUGAUACGCACAUUAUAAUACAUGAAAGUUUUCAAAAAUUUUGAAAAAUUUACUAAAAUUAGAAAAUACCAAAAAAGACACAAUUUAAAAAAAUAUCUGAAUCGAUUCCAAGUUGAUUCGGAUAUAUCGGCUGAUUUCAUGUAUCACGGAUUCAAAACAACCAAUAUCGAUCGAGUCAGAACGAGUCCUCAAGGAUAUGGUAAUAUCCAUGAUUCGGGAAUCGGUAUCGUGCCGGUCCCCUCUGUUCCGAUUACGAGCCGGCCGAUACGCAUCGGUAUCGGCCAAUAUUGCGAACCAUGAGUGAAAUUGCUUUUGUUCUGUACUUUAUUAAUGCAUUCCUCUUUUUACCAAAAAAAAAAAAGAACAUAUUGGCCCUAGAAAAGAAUAAACAAAAGCCAAAAGAAGAUAAAUGAAAAGAAAAGAAAAACUCACGGUUGUGCGUGUUUCAGGUGCACCUGCGAUCAAGAUAGGUGUUUGCUAUAUUAUUCCGACUCUUCAUUUGGUUUUGAUCCCAAACUCAAAGUACCCAUGUCCACACGACACUUGUUUCUACACUUUGAAAAAUUUGUGGACAUUUUGACUUUUGUGAGGUCUAAUGUCCAAGGAAGAGGAGAAGACCUGGCUGAGAAAACUAUUAGAUGUAGAAAAGUUGUCGCAUUGGAAUCCUUAUUGCACUAGAAUCCUUUUAGCUAUGACUCGGUGGUUACUUUAGAAUUCUCCAAUCCUUAGUGAGGUAUGACUUGUAUGUUGGCUGUAUUGUAUAAUUCUUUUAUUUACUAGAAAUUUUGCCAUACCCACGUACUCGUGUCCGAGUCUUUAGAAGUAUCUCCGUAUCCUAAUUAACACUUAGACACGUACCCAAUCCAACACCCAUACCCAAGUCCAAGUAACAUAAGGUAUUUAAUUGAAUAUAUAUAAAUUAAUUUUUUCUAUACUGUCAAUGCAAAAACUUUUUUUACAUAGGUACAGAUUAAUAACAUGCCAUGACUUGUGCAACAUGAUUGAAGGUGGUACUUUUUAAUACGUGCAUCUUUUGUUUUAAAGAUCUUUUGUAAAGUAAAAAUUGAACCGAAUUGAAGCUAUGAAAGGAAAAACAAAACAACCUUCUCUGAAGAAACCGUGAAAAGGAUAAGCAAUACCAAGACCAAAAUAAAUCUCAAUAUUAUUCCAUUGAUUGCUUUGGUAUAAAAGUAUUUAUAGAGGAAACAAAUCCUAAGAAGAACAAAGAAACUACAAUGCCAUACCAAAAUAAAAUAAAUUUACUAAAGAGCAAAAAUGAUAGAAAAUUGUAAAAGCCCCUCGUUACAAUAUAUGAAAUCAUUAAAACUUCUCAUCUAAAUAUUACACAAUCCACAAUAUUUAGGGAUAAUUUCAGAAACCUCUCUUAAAAUUUUUCAUCAUGCCACUUAGCACGUUCGAGGUUACCAAAAUCUUACGUACCUCGAAGUCCUUGCUUGAGUUGACAUUUUUUGUAACAUGUCAGUCCCUCUGGGAGAAAAAACAAGAAAUAAUAUUUUGGUUCAAAUAAGACUCUUAUGUUAUUCUAUUUAUGAAGCUUAUAAUAACACUGAAAAUUGCGAUAAUUUGCACCUAAAGUUUCUAAAAUCUUACUUAUCAUGUCACUCUCAAAGGUUGCAAAUUGAUAAAAUUAUCCUUGCACUCUUAUUUAGCCUAUGCAUGCUAAUAAGGUGCUGCUUCAGUGGGUUGCUGCUGUGUAUUGCAGAGCCAGUCUCAUUUAGUCAUAAUUUUUCCAGUUACUAUCAUUUUUUUUGGAAAAUUUGCCAAAUUGGUCCCUAAUAUUUUUUUAAAAAACUUUUUUAGUCCCUAACAUUUAAAAUCAGUCAAAAUAGUCCCUAACAUAUAAAUUAUGAACUAGUUUGGUCCUAAUGCUCGUAUUUACUCAUUUUUCCGACUAAAAACAGCACACAUAUCUCACGUGGGCAUAAUUUUAAGGGCAAAAUCGAAAAACAUUCAUUAAUCCAUGGUUUUAGACUCUGAAGGAAAGAGAAUAUGCUCUUCAAAGUUCAAGCUCUCAAUGGCUAUUCUUCCAUAACUCCACCCACUCCUCCUAGAGUCAAUCUUGAGUCAUCUUUCUUGCACCUACUCCAUUAGAUGCAUUCCACCAUCACCACUAACCCAAAGCCUGAUGAUCUCAAGAGAACUAGAAAACUUGAAGCUUCAUUGAAUGUUGAAAACCAAGAAAAACAAAUCAUUCGCAACAUUUUGCAGUCCUUCACGACAUCCCAACUUGUUGAAAUCCUUCAGAAGCUGCCAUUGUCCAUCCCAGCAUUCUCCAUACCUUUCUUUCCAUCGUUGAUAACAUCCCAUCCUAUCGCAAGAUCUUUAUCAAAAGUCUAUGGUUUUGUUACUUUCAAGAAUGUUGAGUCUUUCUUUCUUGCCCUAGAAAACCUCAGCAAUAAAAUUGAUGGGUUUGUCAGCAAUAAAAUUGGUGGAGAAUGUGCCAACCAACUGAGAUGAGUUCUAAGACUUUGUUGAGCUAUUUUGAGAGGUAUGGUGAAAUUCAAGAAGGGCCUUGGGGUUUGAUAUGGGGACAGGGAAAUCAAGAGGGUUUGUUUAUCUUUUGUAUGACAAUGAGGAAAGUGCAAAAGCUGCUUUUGCUGAGAAGGUGAAAUUUCUUGAUAGUUUCCGGCUAGUUUGCAAAAUGGUGUCGAGGGAAAGGGAGAAAAGUAAUAGGAACCCAAUGGGGGUUUUGCCUGUAAAACCAUGGAUUGACAAAUGUUUUCCAAUUUUACCCUUGAAAUUAUGCCCACGUGAGAGAGGUGUGCUGUUUUUAGUCAAAAAAAUGAGCAAAUACUAGUAUUAGGACCAAAUUGGCUCAUAAUUUAUAUGUUGGGGACUAUUCUGACUGAUUUUAAAUGUUAGGGAUUAAAAAAUUUCUUUUUGAAAUGUUAGGGACCAAUUUGGCAAAUUUCCCCCUUUUUUUUUGUCCUUUGGGUUGGUUUUCGAAAAUGUUUCAACAAGAUUAUUACAACGGAAACAAAAGGGGUUAAUCCUUCAAAAUUUCAAACCCAACGUCACCGCUACUACUGGGAAAAUCAUAAGGAUUCUACUAAUGAAAAACUCAACCAACUCUCUGCAGAAAUGACUAACCUUUGCUUGCAAACUACAGGAUUGAAGUCGCCAUAUACAUACACGUUGCUUAUCAGAAUCAAGGAAAACAAAUUUUGUCCUAAGUCCACAUACCGGCAAUAAGUUAUUGGGAGAAAGCUAUGUUAGAAUUAUUUUAUAAUUUGGGUUUCUACUGAUUAUAUUUGUUUUUUGUUAAAAAAUCGGGUAAAUGAAAAUCGGUAAAAUCCACUACAGUAUGAUCUACUAUAGUUGGGGUUUAAGUCUGUCUCAACUAUCUAUUUGGUGUGAUAUGCAAGGUGUAGAGCCUAUCAUGUUAACUAAUUAUGUAUAUAUGAAUGUACUACACAACGGAAAUCUAAAUACACUUACAUCUAAUUAUUGUUGUCAAGUACAAGUUGAUCUCUUCUUGUGUCUUUGACUCUUUCAUGUCUACUCUAAAGAAACAAAAUAUGUAGAAGAAGGAAAAGGUAGAUAGAGAAUUUAGAGUAAGGAUCUUCUAACCUAUGCCUAACCCAAAACUAUAUAAUUGAUGGAAUAGCAUAAACUAUUUAUAGGCUAGGCUAGGGACCGUUACUAGCAAAUAUAAAAAUCUCUAAGGUUUCCUUCCAUCAAGGAAAUCUUACCAAAAUUCAUAACUGAAAAUAACAUUUUCUGACUAAUUGAUUGAUUUGAUUAAUUAACUAAUUGAUAUCUUAAUUGAAUAAGAUAUCAAUUAACAAAGAUAUCAAUCAAUCACUAAUAAAUGGGAGAUACUAAUUAAUUAUUGAUAAAAUGUCAAUCAAUUAAUCAGGAUAUCAAUCACUAAUCAUUAUCUAAUAGGAGAUGUUAAUUAAUUAUUGACAAAAUGUCAAUCAAUUAAUUAUGAUAUCAAUCACUUUAGAAUUAAUCAUGUGAGUCAUAAUUGUCUCAAAAGGAGGCAAGUCUUACAUUCUUCCACUUGACGCACAUGGAAUAGUUAGAUAACUUAUGAGUGACUAACAACUUAAAAAUGACCAUAAACCUUGUUUGUCACUUACCAAGUUUAACAGUUAUGUAACAGUUGCCUAAUUAGAAAAUAAUAUUAUACGAAUCAUAGCGGUUAUGUUUUCAUUGCAAACACUUCCUUCGAUGUAUUACAAUGUAUUAUACUUCCUAAUUAAGUACUUUGAAAGAACUUUAUGAAUAACUUCAUAUAAAUUAUUCAGGGUCCAACUUUAUGGAUCACAUGAUCCUUAUUUUAUACAUGAAUAACAAUGUGCACAAAAUCAUGUAAACAUAAGUAUCUCGAGUGUCUAGACAAUAACAAUAGUUUGAGAAUAAUAGCAAAAUACUAAAUGAACUAUUGAGUUCUAUAUGAGUUAUUUGAUCAUUAACAACUCAGCCGGCAACCUUAAGUUGUUUGAUCAACAAUAAUAACUCCUUUUUUUUCUUUAUUUUUUUUAGUGUAAGCAAGAGAAUUUGAAUCCGAGACCUCAUGCUUACACUCCCUCCUCCCGUACCAUCCAACCCAUCCCUCCCCCCCACUCCUUACUGUAUACUUAAUAGCUACCUUUUACUUUCGAAAUAACUAUUGAAUACCUUAUGUCGACUUACCUAUCUUGACUCUCACUUUUUCAUGUAUACAUAAUGAAAGCGUAUAGUCAAAUUGAAUAUCUAUAGUGGUCAAAAUACAAUAUUGACAAACUUUAUGCCAAACAAUAGAUGCCUGUGGUAUACCUUCAUAGCAUCUUUGGUGAAUUUAUAUUCAUUCCAAUGCAUGAUAUGAACAUUAUGCAACUGUUCACUAUUAUUACUUAAAUGUAAUCAAAGAACUCUUGCAUGAAGGUCUUAAAAUAGAUUAACUAUCUUUUACAUUCUACUUUGUGAAUAUCAAUGAUAGAAGGGUAUCACAAAUAUCAUGAUUGAUAAAAACUCUCAUAGUAUUACUCCCAAUAAUCUUAAUAUAUAUUAAUUUAUUAGAAAAAUUCUUCUUAGAUCAAAUGAAGAAUAAAUUAAUAUACUAUUGAGGAGCAACAAUUUGAUUUAAAUUGUAUUCUCUACAAAUGUAUUAUGGUGACACAUAUGUACACCUAAUUAUCAAGAAUCAUGUGAAGGACAUUUGUUUUCAUAUUUAUCUAAUGUAACUCUAAUAGUGAGUUACUAGUGCCAUAAUUACCCUAAAUAAAGUCUCUCAAAAUUUGGUAGAGAUUUUAUUGUAAUUUGUGACAUUAUUCCUGAAUAUGGAGAUUUCUCCAUUCGUACCUUAUGAAAACAUUACACAAUUUAUCCUUAAACUCUUGCAGAUAUACAAUAUAGUAACUAGAGAACUUCAAUUCUCUAUAGAGAACAUUUUGCCUCCCAUUGUCUCAAAGAUAACUCAACCAGUGGGUUCUAAGUGGAUUUAUCUUUAUGUGUUUAUUUGACAAGGAAUUUUUCAAUUGAUUGCUUAUCUAAAAUAAUUAAAUAAUUAUUUUGACAAAAGCUAUCAAUUUUCCAUAUGCAAAGGAGUCAAAAAUGAAUCCUUACCUUUUUAAAACUCCAUUCUAGAGUCAAAACACUCCUACUUCAUGUUCUUAAGAAAUUUAAUCUCCAAUUUAAUAAUUCUUGAUGUGUAAAAAAAUCUAAAUUUCUUGGAGCAAGAUAGCAUUGUUUCCUUUGUACAACUUCUUUAUGUGUAGGUUGAUUACCCUCACAAAACUGAACAUAAUAUUGUAAACUUGAUUUCCAUCCAUACCACAAUCAAAGUGGCAUUUAAACAACAUUGGAGGAAAUUGUUUAAACAUAUACUUCAGUUUCAAGGCAUUACUCACAAGAUAUAAAAAUUACCAAUAUGCUAUAUCCAAAAGUAUCUCAUUAUUUUCUUAAGGUACACCAUUUGGAUGUAACCAAUCAAGCAUUGCUUUUAUUCAUUAGCAAUGUUUCUGUCAGGAUGCAGAAGUUAAGCCAUCAUGCGGCAUCGUUUUGUAACUAAUCAAACAAAUCAGUAGGGAGAGGGAUAAGUGCAACGGUGUCGUUUCAUGAUCAAUUAGUAGCAUUCAGAAUAAGUGAAACGGUGGCGUUUCAUGCGUAUCAAUUCAGUUUAUCAAUUCAGUUAGGAUUAGUUAGAGUCGGUUAACCACACUUAUUUGUACGUAAACAUUCAACAGAAUUGGCAGGCAAGAAGAAUCGCAGAAUCUCAUUCUUUUCAUUCUUUCUCUCACUAAUUCUGAUUCUCUCUCUUUUCUACUCUGUUUUCUCUCUAGUUCUCUCUCAUCUACUCUUUCUUUCCCCAAAUUCGAGUGUAGAAUCCCUAAUGCUGAAUCCAGGAUCCUGACAUUUGGUAUCAGAGCAGGACGGAUCCUUGGAGGAAGUAGAAUUCCAUGGCAGAAAGCACCAGGUUCAAAACCUUGGAGGAACAAAUCAAGAAGCAAGAUCUCAAGCUCCAGGAAGUAAUGGAAGGAUUGCAAGCCUCGCAGGCACAACAGAUGCGAAUGAGGGAGGAAUUUCGAACGGAAUUGGAAGGGAGCAACCUGAGGAUGGAAGGUUUGGUAGCAGAAAUGAAGCAAGAACUCAGCACCUUUAUGAAGGCACUGGUGAACAAGGAGAAGGCGGCAUUAGAGGAAGACAGGUUGAGAAUCGAGCAAACACCGCUGUUGCCAACUCCACCAAUGAAUCAGAGGCUACCAGUAGGGGCUGAUAACAUCAGGAUGACCAGGAAAGAGGUAGGUAGGUUCUUAGCCCCUAAUCCUCCAAAAAUUGACUUGCCUAUGUUCAGUGGGGAGAAUCCGAGGGAAUGGAUUAGAAAAUGCAACAAGUAUUGUUUAAACUAUCAAAUUCCUGAAGAUCAUAAAAUGGAAGUUAUAGAAAUGUACUUAGAGGGAAGGGCAGAUAACUGGUUUCAAGGAGUAAAACUGGAGAAACCAGGUCUAGUAUGGGGCAACUUCGUAGAACUGUUGUACAAAAGGUUUGACAACAGAUGUGGCAGGGAUGUGGUAGAAGAAUUUAAUAAACUGCAACAAUCAGGACAGGUGGAGGAAUACCAGGAAAAGUUUGAAGAGCUCAAGACCCUUAUGAUGCUUAAGAAUCCCUAUCUAGGCGAGGAAUACUUUGUAUCUAGCUUCAUCAGUGGACUCAAGAAUGAGAUCAGGACAAUGGUGAAAAUGUUGAAACCUGCAACGUUGUCCGAAGCCCUUGAGAUGGCUGUAUUACAAGAAGAUGCGUUGAAACUCCAGGCCAGAAGCUGGAAAACUGCACCUGAAGGCAGGUUUGGAAUUUCUAGGAGUCCUUCCCAACAACAGAGCCAUAGUCCUCACUAUAAAGUUCCUUCUAUCAGUACCUUCAGGAAUACCUCUUUCAAAGGGAAGCCAAUUUCUGCUGCAGAUACUGAACCUAAAAGGCUAUCAGCUCAGGAGUUACAGUACAGGAGGAGCCAUGGACUUUGUUUCAAGUGUGGAGAAAAAUUUGGACAAGGUCAUCAGUGCAAAUCAGGUCACCUAAAUCUUUUGGUCACAGAAGAGGAAGAGGAUUCAGAGUUUGAGGAUGCAGUAGGUGAACAAGAUGAAGCCACGGGCAAUCCUGGACAGAUCAUGGAAAUGUCUCUUCAUACGCUGUCAGAUGCAUUGCAAAGGAAGACCAUAACACUGGUAGGAAAACUGGAUGGGGAGGAAAUGCUGAUACUAGUCGACACUGGAAGCUCAGACAGCUACAUCAGCAGUGAAAAGGUAAUUGCCUUUGAUGUUCCUUAUCGAAUGGUUGAACCUUUCUCUGUGGUAGUAGGUAAUGGGGCUUGUGUAACUAGUAAGGCCAUAUGUCCUAAGGUGGUAUGGGAGAUCAAUCAGUACAAAUUCUGCUAUGAUUUAAAGGUAAUGGACCUGAGUGGCUGGGAUAUCGUUUUGGGGGUGGACUGGAUGACUCGCUUUAGUCCAAUUACUUUUGAUUUUCACCAAUUAACAAUCUCUCUGCACAAUCAAGGGGAAGUAGUUCAGCUAAGGGGACAAGCUGAGAAUUGUGACUUGGAUCUUAUUAGGGGGAGUGAUCUAAGGAAUUUUAUUGAAUAUAAGAAGCAAAUGUGUCUAGCAAUGAGGAUGGGACAGAAUGGGAAAUCAGAGAAGGGGAAUAUGCCUACUGAAGUUCAAGGCAUCAUUGAUGGCUUUGCUGAUGUUUUUGAGACGCCCUCUGACCUUCCCCCUGCCAGGGAAAUAGAUCAUGAGAUACCUCUAAAACAGGGGUCUCAGGCUUUUAAAAUGAAGCCAUAUAGGUACCCUCAUUCCCAGAAGAGUGAGAUAGAACAACAGGUCACAGACAUGUUGCAGCAUGGGAUUAUCAUUCACAGCAACAGUCCCUUUGCCUCACCAGUGCUUUUGGUUAAAAAGAAGGAAGGGACAUGGCGUUUUUGUGUGGAUUACAGGCGCCUGAAUGAAAUGACCAUCAAAGAUAACUAUCCCAUUCCAAACGUAGAUGAAUUAAUCAAUGAGUUAGCAGGCUCAAGGUAUAAAUCUAAGCUGGAUCUCACUUCUGGCUACCAUCAGAUCAGAGUCAAACCCAAGGACACUUACAAAACUGCCUUCCAAACUCACUGUGGCCAUUAUGAGUUCCUGGUAAUGCCUUUCGGACUGACUAACGCACCUGCAACCUUUCAGGCCCUUAUGAAUCAAGUAUUUCAACCCUAUCUAAGGAAAUUCGUGUUGGUUUUCUUUGAUGAUAUUUUAAUAUACAGUCCCACCCUGGAAUUACACCUAGAGCAUCUGAGGAUAGUCCUGACAGUGUUGAGGGACCACAAACUGUUUGCUAAGAGAUCAAAAUGCUCAUUUGCACAACAUACUGUGGAUUACCUUGGUCACACUAUCUCUGAGAAUGUAGUGUCCAUGGAUCAGUCCAAGGUGGAGAGCAUUAUCAACUGGCCUGUCCCUAGUACAAUUAAAGAGUUGAGAGGAUUUUUGGGGUUAACUGGCUAUUACAGGAGAUUUAUCAAGCAAUAUGGCAUUAUCUGCAAACCACUUACUAUGUUGCUCAAGAAGGACAAUUUCUGUUGGAACGAGGAAGCACAGAAGGCCUUCACAUCACUGAAACAUAUUAUGAGUACUGCUCCUGUUCUCAAGCUGCCAGAUUUUCAGAAGCCUUUCACAAUCGAAACUGAUGCUAGUGGGAGUGGCAUUGGAGCUGUAUUGAUGCAAGAAGGCCAUCCCAUUGCAUUCCUGAGCAAGGCUUUGUCUCCCAGAAAUUUGGGACUGUCAGCUUAUGAGAAGGAACUGCUAGCAUUAGUGAUGGCAGUUUCCAAGUGGAGGCAUUAUUUGGUGGGAUAUCACUUUAUUAUUAAGACAGAUCAUCAAUCCCUGAAGUAUUUGUUAGAUCAAAAGCUCACUACUACAUUACAACACAAAUGGUUAGCCAAGCUGCUGGGGCUGGACUAUGAAAUUCAAUACAAGAAGGGGACAGAAAAUAAGGCAGCUGAUGCAUUGUCCAGAUUACAUGGUACGACUCAAGAACACUCUACUCAACCAGGAUCAUGUUUUGCCCUUUCAACUGUCCAACCACUGUGGAUACAAGAACUCCAGAAAAGCUAUGAGUCAGAUUCUCAAUGCCAGGACAUUAUUUCUCAGCUACUGCUGGACCCGCAAGCUCACCAACCUUUUGAGUGGGACAAGGGAUUGCUGAAGUACAAUGGCAAACUUUAUGUAGGCUCAACCAGUGGAUUGAGGGACAAGCUCAUCCAAGCACUCCAUGCAUCAGCAGUGGGGGGCCACUCGGGACAAAGGGGCUGUUGGCAGAAGUUAAAAGCUUUGUUCUAUUGGCCUACGAUGAAGAAGGAUGUUAUCAGACUUAUUCAGGCCUGUGAUACAUGUCAGAGGUACAAAUCUGAGCAUGUGCACUACCCUGGUCUAUUGCAACCAUUGCCAGUUCCUCGCAUGGCUUGGACUCAUGUGACUAUGGACUUCAUAGAGAGUCUGCCAGAGUCACAAGGCUAUGACACAGUAAUGGUGGUGAUCGACAGAUUCACCAAGGUGGGACAUUUUCUCGCAUUAGCGCAUCCAUUCUCUGCCAAGCAAGUGGCUCAACUCUUCAUGGAUCACAUAUUCAGGUUACAUGGCAUCCCAGAAUCUAUAGUAUCUGAUAGAGAUAGGAUCUUUACAAGUGUUUUCUGGCAGGAACUUUUUAAGUUACUAGGUACGGAAUUGAGUUAUAGCUCAGCCUAUCACCCUCAGUCUGAUGGGCAGACUGAACGUCUCAACCAGUGUGUCGAAGCCUACCUGAGAUGCAUGACUGGGGAAUUACCCCAUCGCUGGAACAGGUGGCUAGCACUAGCUGAAUGGUGGUACAACUCCUCCUAUCACUCCAGUCUGCAAAUGACUCCAUUCGAAGCCUUGUAUGGGUACCAGCCUAUUCCCUUGCCUUUAGGACCUCAUUUUGACACGAUCAUACCAGCUGCUUCCCACCUACUCCAGGAGAGAUUGAGGGUCUCCAGCAGCAUCAGGGAUCACCUCCUCAAGGCACAACAGAGAAUGAAGUUCUUUGCUGACCAGAAACGUACUGAACGAACUUUUGAGGUGGGUGACUGGGUUUUCCUGAAGCUUCAACCCUAUAGACAGCAGUCAGUGGCUAUCAGGAAGUGCCUCAAGCUGUCUGCAAGGUUCUAUGGCCCUUUUCAGGUGGUAGCUAAAGUAGGGGCAGUGGCUUAUCGUCUUGCAUUACCUGCACAGGCAAAGAUUCACCCCGUAUUUCACGUCUCUUUGCUUAAGAAGAAAUUGGGACCUCUGCAGCCUAUUUCAACGACACUGCCUGAGAUUGAUAUUGAUGACCAGUGUCCUCUACAACCAGAAUCCAUUUUGCAACGGAGGGUGAUCAUGCGAAAUGGACAAUCAGUGAUACAAUACCUCAUCAAAUGGUGCCAACUCGAUCAGGAUGAAGCUUCUUGGGAAGACAAAGACUUCAUACACGCGCAAUUCCCUCAGUUUCAGUCUUGAGGACAAGACUGUUAAAGGGGAGAGCAAUGUCAGGAUGCAGAAGUUAAGCCAUCAUGCGGCAUCGUUUUGUAACUAAUCAAACAAAUCAGUAGGGAGAGGGAUAAGUGCAACGGUGUCGUUUCAUGAUCAAUUAGUAGCAUUCAGAAUAAGUGAAACAGUGGCGUUUCAUGCGUAUCAAUUCAGUUUAUCAAUUCAGUUAGGAUUAGUUAGAGUCGGUUAACCACACUUAUUUGUACGUAAACAUUCAACAGAAUUGGCAGGCAAGAAGAAUCGCAGAAUCUCAUUCUUUUCAUUCUUUCUCUCACUAAUUCUGAUUCUCUCUCUUUUCUACUCUGUUUUCUCUCUAGUUCUCUCUCAUCUACUCUUUCUUUCCCCAAAUUCGAGUGUAGAAUCCCUAAUGCUGAAUCCAGGAUCCUGACAGUUUCCUAAUUAAUGAGCACAAAUAGGAUAGCCCUUUAUUUUGUGCCUUCAUUUUAUUUUCUAUCUUUCAAAUUUCAAAUUUCCUUUCUCGUUUGAACACUUGUAAAGAUAUCAAAUAUUGAUCCUUUAUCAAAUAAGAAAGGAACUUUAUAUUUGAUGAAUGGUUACCUAAUAAUGAGGUAAAUAUCUCUCACCAAUAAAAAAGGAUAGAAAAUAAUUCACAAAAUUUUAGUGUUAUAAUAAAACUCUUAUGGCAUCCAUAAUGGUUGAGUAGUCUACUUUACUUAUGCAGUCUACUUGAAAUAUUAUAGUCAAUAAAUCUAAAAUCUUUAAAGAUUUAUUAUUUAUCAACUCUUUAUUUCAUUAUAGAGAUAUAUCUCAAUCUCUUAUGCCAAAAUUUAAGGAGUUUCCCUAGUGAUAAACAUACUUGCUGCCAAUAUAAUUAUUGUGGUCAAGUGCAGUAUAUUGCUCAAUUUAAAGGAUGAUACUGAAAACUUUAGAAUUAAUAACUUCACUAUUUUUAAAAUCUACUACUGGAUAAUGAGGUUCAUAAUCAUACCCAAUAGUAAUUAAUUUGAAAAUAGAAAUUCUAACGUAAUAAGAAAAUAAUGUUUUAGAAAAACAAAUUUUCUUGAAAUGAGCAAUAAUACAUCACUUAUCUUAUGUAAGACUUGCCUCCUUUUGAGGCAAUUAUGACCCAUGAUAAGUGCAUGUUUUGUGUGUUUUUAGUGUGUUUUAUUAAUUAGUUUUGGUGUUUUUAAUUAGUUUUAUAGCUUAUGAACUAAGUUUCUAGUGAAAAUAUGCAUUUUGUGGUUUUAAGUGGUAAAAAUUGUAUUUCUAUUGAAUUUAAUUGUGAAAAUUUCAUGUUUUUAUAGGUUUAAUGAUUCAAUCAUUAAAUGGCAUGAAUUGAGAAGAUAAUUGGAUGAUUGAUGAUGGUUUGAAGUGAUAAAAAGAGAAUAUGAAGUGCAAAAGAUGAAAUGCAAUUAAAGGAGUUUUCCAGCUUUGACACCUAUUGGUAUUUCAGCUAUUUCUUGACAUUCACGUAUUGGAUUGAGGUAAUUUUUGAAUUUUUUUUAAUCGAAGAGAUAUAUAUACAUUUGGUAUGAAGAUAUCGAAGUCUAGUUUAGUGGUUUUCCUAGUCAAAAUGUCAAAAUACAGAAGUGCAAUUUUGUUGUCGAAAGCUGAAAUAGAGUUUUGACUAGUAGAGGGUAUUUUGGUCAUUUAAUGGUUCACAUAGCUCCAAAUUGGAUGAAUCUUGAGGCAUUGGAAACAUAACUCAAAGGGCUACAACUUUCGUGUUUUACACAAGAGUUAGUUCAGUCUCCAUCAUCAAGAAAAUAUAUGUGAAAGUUGGUGCAAAAACAGAGCAAACAUGAAAUCCCCCCAGAAUGAGCAAUCCUGUAAAAGAGCAAAAUAUGGUACAAUAUGCAACCUCAGGCCGCAUUUUCGAGGUUGUGAAUUCAUGUUUUGCGGUUGCAACUUGCUCUACAAUUUGUGCUUUAUUCACACAACCUUUUUGACCAACUUUUCUGCAAAGAUUCCUACUGGAAAUGAGCAGAUGAGCAUGGAAACUUUGAGAGGCAACCUUUGAGAGUUUCAAGAAGCAAUUUUGCCAACUAGAAACAACUCAUCUUAAGUUUGAAUCUCUCUAUAAAUAGAGACCUUGGAGAACACUUUUCACAACUUUGGAAGGCUAGAAAAACUCCACAAAAAUGUAGUCUUCACUAGUUUUUCUUAGUUUAUUAGUAUAGUAUAGUUAAAGCAGUUUAUCUUUCUUGAAUUUGUAGUUAGAUUUGAAUGAAGAUUUGAGGAGCAAAGAUGGAGAGGUUGAAACUCAUGUGGCAAGGGUGAUUUCUCUCCUAUCACUUUCUCUUUUGUAUUUGGUUUCAUGUUUAGCUAUAAUAUAAGUUUGGUAUUUGUUUUCAUGUUUAGUUAAAGUUUAUGCCUAGAGUUAUGGAUGAACUUUCUAUAUCUUGUUAGUAAUGUUUACUUGGUUAUUUGAUGAUAUUAUUUUGAACAAGUUAUUUAUCACUUUUGCUUUUCUAAUCAUGAUUAACCGGCCAUUAAUUAUCACAAUCUUAAGGUGUUAAGUUUGCAAUGAGAAUUGGGAUUUAACACUAAUAAAGUCAAGCUAUGACAUAUCAUAAGACUUUUAAGUACCUAAAUAUCCUCUUGGCUGCUGUUUUAUAAAACAUACAUGGCUAUUGAUCCUUGCUUGAACCAUGAUCUUAAGGUUAUGGCUUUUUCAGUACUAAUGGUGUGACAAUUCAUACUUGGUUUAUGGGCUUGCUCUCAUUAAAGAAUGCACGUUUCUCAAUUAUUGACGUUGAUCUAUUUUCAUUUUCUUUUCCCAGAGGUGGAGAUAAAUUCCACUUCCACUUAAAUUGGAGGGUUGUGCAUAUGCAGUUCCUAAUUUUAUACACUAUUCAUUGAGAAUAUGCUCCAUGCAUGUUAUAAAGUAAUUGAACAUGAAACUUCAAAUCAAUUAAAAUUGUUCAUUGGAGAAGGUUUGUGCAAAAGAAUUUGGUUAUGGUUCCCAAAUACUAUGAUCAUAUCAACCGUAGAAUUUGUAUGCAUGAUUUAAUUGUCACUGACAAAGUUUGAUUUAUGGAAUUUAUUGAGCAAGUUAUGCAAAAUGAAAGCCAAAAGAAGGAUAAAGUAAUCAAGUUUGCUUUGCAUUGAGGGAUAAAUUAAGGUUUUGGCCUCUCUCUGCGGUUAAACUUGACAUAUUCUAAAUGAUGUCUUUUAGAACUUCAUGAAUACAAGUGCAACUUAUUUAACUUUGAUCUUCUAUGAAUGACAUGAAAAAGCUUAUGUGCAUAAAGUUUUUGUCUCAGUUAAACAAUUCAUGAAUUAUAAUGAAUGGUAUAAUCAAAGUGAUCUUUAUUAUAUUUAUAGAAUUAUUUAAUAAGGAUCUUGAGAUGUUCAUGUUUUGAAAUUCUAUGAUGAUUUCGACUUGGGUUUUUAUUAAAAGUUGAAAUUGUCACUUGAGAUAUGAAUCUUUGGUGUAAUAUUUAGAGUAGCCAUCUUGGUUCAUGUAUUUAUAAAAAUACUAGGAGGAAGUGCCCGCACAUCGCGCCGGUGUUUGGUGCUUUUGGUUGUAGAGAAUUUUUCAUUGGACAAAUAAUAGUACAUUUUGGAAAGAAAUAGUCAUCAUAUAUGACAAAGUUAAUAAUAGUACAUUCUAAUUGCAACAUACACUUAUACACUUAUACACUUUGCUUUGUCAAUACUUUUAUAAUUUUACCAUUCCCAAAAUACUCUUACAGAUGUCAAUUGAAAAUCAUCUAAGAGCUGAUAUAGGUUGUUUCAAACAAAGAAAUAUCCUCUAACGGCUAGUUAUAGUAACGUGUUAAUUACACAAUGUGUUAAUAUGUCUUUGUGUUAAUUGCACAACAAAAGCCACACUUCAAUUAAAUGUGUCUAUACUACCGUUUCAAUAGUUAUACCAACACAUAAACUUAUAUGAGUUGUAUUCGAUGCAAAAAUGGUUAAUUCCAUAUUUCAGAAAUAUUCAGAUGUCUGCAUAAAUGAAAACUUUAAAUGUACCAAAAUGAGGGCAUUUCAAUAAAUAUACUUAAACACAUGUAAUCCUCAAUUGUACCAAAAGUUUUAAAAAAAUUAUACAACAUUCUAUAUUCUCAAAAAGCCCUUAUCCAUGCGGUUGAAAUUUAAAUCCCGUUUGACCACUACUCAUUUUUAUAUAGUAUAAGGAUGUCAUAUAUUUCCUUUUGUCCAUGUUUUCAAUGGCACGAUUAAAUUUUUUAGCAAAUUGGACAAAGGAUUUGGGAUUUACUUUGUGCAAACAAGUUUUAGUUUGCUAAUGUCAUAAUUAGAUUUAUUAUCUAUUGACAUAAAAUAUUGUCUCAGUUGAAUGAUUUAAUGGAUUAUUACAAUUAGUACCACCAAAGUUGCUAUUAUUUUAAUUCAUAAAAUUAUUCGACAAAGAUUCUAGGAUGUUUGUCUUCUGAAAUUUUUAUCAUAAUUACCUGCCCCAAGGGGGUAUUUAUGCAUAUUAAUUUUGGAAGGGUCAAGUGAUCACAUGGUACAUUUAUGAUUAUAUAUAUGGUAUUUAUCCCAGUUAAAUAGUAUACUAAAUUAUUAUUACUGAUACACUGAAGUGACCAUUAUCAUAAUUCAUAAAUUUAUUUAAUAAGGAUCCUGAGAUUCUUGUCUUUUAUAAUUAUAUUAUAUGAUUAUCUAACCGAAGGUGAUAAUCAUAUAUAUAUUAUUUUAAAAGGAUUGAGUGUGUGAUGAGGGAAAAUUAUGACCUCAAAAGAGGUCUAUCUACUUGAAAUACAUUAGUUCUUCUAAAGUUAUCUCACUGUUUCACUUGAGUGGGAGGUUUAUGCUAUCCAAAGAACACUCUUUAGAAAUAGAAUUUAUCUUCCACAUGAAUAUUGCCAUUAAUUGCUCACCUAUUAUUAUUGCUUCAAGUGUGUGAUAUAUCUUCGAAUAUAAUUGUUUAAAGUUUGCAAUAUUUGUGUGAACAAUUGUCAUUUUGUUGUUGUUUUGUUUGGCAAUAUUGUUUUGAGAUGGAAAAGUAAAGUUGAGUUUACUACUUAGCUUGGUUGAUCUUGCUAUUAUUGUACUUCAAGUAAAGUUUCUAAAGUCCUAUAAUUACGGUUUAACAUAGAAAAGGCCUGUUUUAGAGGAUAAAUUAAAAUAUUAAGAUUAUGCAAAAAUUUGCCCUUUGGCCUUUUUCAAAGUACCAUGAUAAUUCAAACUGUUGAUCAAUUUUGUUUGAGUUCAUUGAGCAACAAUUUUAUAAAUAUGGAAGAUCUAAAGUUAUAGUUUCAAUGAGCAUUAAUAGACAGUUUUGUCUGUUAGAUUAUUGAAGAAGAACUUUUCUUAAGACCAUGUAAAACUGCGUAUCUUCUUGACCAUUAUAAAGUACAAUUUUUGUUGUCCACCGAAUUAAAGGUUCCACUUUCUUUCAAUAAUUUGGGUUCAAUUUUAUAUUUAUAUUCAAGUGUCAAUAAGUGGUUGACAUAUAUCUACCAAUUGGGGUGAAUAAUAAAUGAGGGGAAGUUAAGAAAGCUUCCAUUGGUCCAACUCAUAAUUUUGACAUUAAAAAUACUAAAUGUCAAUUUUAGGGUGCUUCAAGUUUUAUGAGCUCAAGUUGUACAAAAAAUUAACAUAAUUUAUUUUUCUUUUAAUUGUUUUAAAUUAACCUUUGCUGCAUCACGCCCUAUUAGCGGGGAAUCUUCCAUGACUGUAUUGCACUUUGCAGCAGCUGAAGCUGUUCCAAGGGGAAUUGCAUCGCAAAUGGCAAGCGCCGCAAUUGGAAACAGUUGAUACGGCAUUGGCGAACAAUCUCGCGUCGGUGCAACCAACUAAUAAUAAAAACGACAUGGGCGUCCUCGAAUGUCUUCGCUACAGGUUCGUGAGCAUUCUCAAACUACUUAUGGUUUAUGCUUCCAACUCAAAUCCAAUUAAUUUUUUAGUUUGGAACAUACGGGGAGCUUCUCGCAUGGACUCCCUUCGUUAGCUAAAUAAGUAGAUUCGAGAAAAUUCGGUUCGUUUAGUGGUUCUUUUAGAACCAAUGUCUGACUUUAAUCAAUUGGAGGUUGUUAAGCACUUUCUUCGUUUUGAUAAGGCAGCAGGUUUUGCUCAAGAUAAAAUUUGGUGCCUAUGGGGUGAGGAGUUUGGUAUCGUGUUUAUAGAACACGCCGAACAGCUAGCCCAUGCUAGGAUCAUGUUUCGUUCUGGUUUUUCUUUUGAGUCUUCGGGAGUGUAUGCAAAGUGCACUAGAGUUGGUAGGAGACCCCUUUGGGAAGCUAUGGAGUUGUUGAACGGUGAUAUGGUGAGACCUUGGAUGGCAGUGGGAGACUUUAAUGUUGUCUCCUCUGCGGGGGAACAAGUGGGCGGUUCUUCUGUGAACAUGCGAAAUGUUGAUGAGUUUAAUACGGCUAUGUUUAAUUAUGGGUUAGCUUCAAUGGAGUUUGAGGGGCAACCUUUUACUUGGACAAAUGGUGUCAUGUGGCAAAGAUUGGAUCGGGCUCUAGUCAAUGCUCGAUGGAUGGAUUGCUAUCCUGUCACAAAGGUUAUGCACUUGGCUCGUGGACGGUCAGAUCACUCGCCUCUACUAAUUAAGUGUAAGGAUGACAGAGUAAGAUGUUCUUCUUUUCACUUCCUCAACUUUUGGAGUACUCAUCACCAGUUCAUGGGAGUGGUGGCGGAGGAUGGCAAAAACCGGUCUCCGAGAUAGGCAUGGUUGGUUUUGCUCAGAAGCAAAAGCUGGUUUGAUGGCGGUUAUGCUUUUGGAAUCAUGAUGUCUUUGGAAAUAUCUUCUCCAAGGUGAAAACAGCCGAGGAGAACUACAAGCUAAGGGAAGUGGAGUUUGAUACCAACAAAGACGAUUUGUCAAGGUUGCGGUUGAAUAAAGCCCGACCUGUUUUCUCCCGUGAACUUGUGGUGGAAUGUUCUUAUUGGCGCCAAAAGUCGAAUAUCAGAUGGUUGAAAGAAGGGGAUGCUAACACAGCGUUCUUCCAUGGGGUUGUUAGGCAAAGGAGAAAUAUGAAUUUUAUCUCGGGUCAAAGAGAAGGAUGGCUCGUGGGUAGAUUCCGUGGGGCUUAUUCAAGUGUCAGCAAUAGCUUUUAAUUCUCAACUAUUUGAAUCGGAAGGUCGACCUAGAGCCCCUCAAUUUAAUUUUGAGGUCCCCAAGGUGACGGAUGUGGAUAAUGCCAUGCUUCUUGCACUUCCUUCGUUAACGGAGUUAAAAGAGGUGGUAUUUUCAAUGGACAUCAAUAGCACGCCUGGGCUAGAUAGAUUUGGAGCUGGAUUUUAUCAGUUAUGCUGGGAUAUCAUCAAAGUGGAUCUGUUGCAAGUAAUACAUGAUUUUUUUUUUCCUGGGAGUAGAGCAACCCAAGUACUAGUCUAGUUCCCUCCUACUUCUCCUUCCAAAAAUUGAUGGAGCUCAUCAAUGGAAGGAUUUCCGUCCAAUUAGUCUAUGUAAUGUGUCUUCAAAAAUUAUCUCUAAAGUUAUAGCAAAUCGGAUUGGUUGGUUGCUCCCUUCUCUUAUUUCUUCGUGGCAAACGGGGUUUGUACCGGGUAGGGGUAUUGUUGAUAACGUGCUAUUGGCCCAAGAGUUGAUUUUGGAUUUGGACAGACAACUAAGCAUUCCAAAUGUUAUUCUCAAGCUUGACAUGAAGAAGGCUUAUGAUCAAAUGGAAUGGUCCUUUCUGAAUACUAUGUUGCGAAUGUUCGAUUUUGGAGAACAGGUAGUUAAUUUACUGUUCCGAACAUUCGCGAACUCAUGGUUUUUGGUCCUAAUCAAUGGUGAACCUUCAGGUUUUUUUAAAUCCACGAGAGGGGUUAGAAAAGGGGAUCCCCUAUUUCAAACCUUGUUUCUGUUCGUGGAGAAGUUUCUCGGCCGAGGGCUACAUCAGUUGUUCUUGGGAAAUGAGCAAUGGUUCUAUGGUUCGGCUGGGGGUAAGGUUCCCUACCUUGCUUUUGCUAACGACCCUAUCAUUUUCACUAGGUGUGCUGCAGGGUGUUUACAGGCUAUACUUGAUUUUCUGGGGAACUGUCAGUCUUAUUCGGGACAAAAAGUUAAUAUAAAUAAAAGCUCCUUUGUUUGUUCUCCUCGAGCUAGGGCUGAGCAUUUGACUUUGGUAUCUUCUAUCCUUGGUUUUUGUCAGCAGUCUUUUCUGAUGCAAUAUUUGGGGUUCCCGCUGGUGAAGGGUUAGUUGAAAUGUAUGGUGUUCGACGGUCUUAUUUCAAAAAUUUCGGCAGCCCCUCUUCCAUUGGAGUUCCAAAUUGCUCGACAUGGGAGGCAAAAAUGUCCUCAUCCGACAUGUGCUAAGUUCUCUCCCCAUGUAUUUGUUGCAAGGGGUGCAGCCUCCUAAGGCAGUAUUAAGGACGCUUGGGAGGAUUUGCAACUUUUUCUUGUGGGACAAUAGUGCGGAGUCAAAGCUGCUUCAUUAGGUUGUGUGGGACUGGUUGUGUUUUCCCGAGGAAGAAGGGGGGGUUGGGGUUCUGAUCUUUCUCAGAUGUCUCACGUGCCUUUGCAUGUAAAUUGUGGUGGCGGCUAAGAAAGCACGAGUCAAUAUGGCCCAAGUUUAUGCACCAAAAGUAUAUUAGAGGAGUUCACCCUUCGAUGGUGGUUGUCUAUCGACCCUCUGUGGGGUGGAGACGUCUCCAGGAAAUUUGACUCGUUGCUGAAAGUCAGAUUCAGUGGUCUUUAGGUAAAGGAUUGGUUGAUUUUUGGCAUGAUGCAUGAUACAUAAUGCUUCAACCAGCUUUUGGCUAAGCUAACUGGGGUUGCUGACCCCCCAUAUGCUUGUGGGAGAGUUCUAUGAUGCUCAAGGGUGGAAUGAACAGCGGCUUCGACGUUGGUUAUCUCCAUUUCUGAUUGCCUAUGUUUUCCAAAUUCCAUUCUCAAGACAUCAGGAGGAUCGCAUUGUGUGCGCUCUAGCUCCCUCUGGGGAAUUCUCCGUGUCAUCUGCCUGGGAGGAGGUUCGCCAGAGAAGGAGCCUGUCAUUGGUUGAUAGUUUUCUGUGGAACUCUGUCACCCCAAUUAAGAUCUCCUUUUUCGCCUGGCGGCUUGUGUGCCGGUAGCUUCCUAUUGAUGAGAUAAUCCAGAAGCGUUCGAUUUGGUGUCUGGAUGUUACUGUUGUAGCACAGAUGUAGAAUCAGUUCAGCACCUUUUUGUGGAGGGUCCCUUGGUGAUGACUGUAUGGGGUUUCUUUGCGCGUCAGUUUGGAAUUUAAAACCUGAGGAGCAGAGACGUCUCGUCGAUGUUAGUAGCUUGGUUCUUGUCAAGAAUUAUAAGUGAUGCGACGUAGUUUGGAGCAUUACGGCAUUGUUUUGAAGAUUACCAGGAGAAAUAAGUAGUGCGACGUAGUUGGGUAUGAGUUCAUAUUCUUGCAAGAAACGGUGCCGUUGCACUGAAAUUUAGUUAGGAAAUCUGUUAUAUUUGUUUCAGUUAGUUACAAAGUCGGUUAGCAUUGAUGAAGUGUAAAUAAUGCUAUAAAUAGCAAAAAGGUGAAGAAAGGCAGUAGUCAGAUUCAUAAUUAGAUUUUUCAAAUGAAAAUAUCUUCUCAUUCCUCUUAAUUAGAAAUCUCUUGAUUUCAUGCAAUAGGCUCAUAUUGUUGCUGACAAGUAAAAUGUCAUCAACAUACAAUAACAAAAAUAUAUACUUCCUCCCAUAGAACUUAUGAUAUAUACAAGCAUCUACUAAAUUCAUUUCAAAACUAAAUGAGAUGAUCACUUAAUGAAAUUUGAAAUACCAUUGUCGAGACGUUUGUUUGACCUCUAUAGAUGAAUUUUUUAAUUUUACAAAUCAUAUUUUUUUAGAUCUCCUAAUACAAAAUUUUCUGGUUACACCAUAUAAAUUGUCUCAUCAAUGUUACCAUUGAGAAACAUUGUCUUUACAUCCAUCUGGUGUAACUCAAGAUCAAAAUAUGCCACUAAUGCCAUGAUAAUUCUAAAAGAGUUAUUUGAAGAGAUCGGAGAGAAGGUUUCUUUAUAGUCGAUGCCUUCUUUUUGUGUAUAUCUCUUGACGACAAGAUGAGUUUUAUAUCUUGUCACAUUGCUUUUCGAAUCCCUUUUGAUUUUAAAUAUCCACUUACAACCAAUGGAUUUUUCUGACAAUGGGACAAGAUCCCAAAUAUCAUUGUCUUUCAUGAAUUUAAUCUCCUCAUUCAUGGUAUCGAUCCACUUUUGAGAAUUUAAACUUUUCAUGACUUGACGGAAGUUAAUUGGAUCAUCUUCCAUCAAUCCAGUAUCAUCCUCGUAUUCCUGGAGAAAGACAAUAUAAUCAUCUGGUAUUACACUUCUCCUUUCUCUAGUGGAUCUUCUUAAUAGCACUGAUUUUUCAAGAGGAAGAGUUUAUUUUAGGACAUUGUCUUGAUUUGUUAUGUCAUGAUCAAGAUCAGGAAUGAGAUCCUUAACAAGAUCAAUAACAACUGUGGGAAUAUUGACAUAUUCUUCUUUAAAGACAAGCUCUCUUACUAUAUUUUCUUCCCCAAACUCGAUAUCCUCAAAGAAUCAGGCAUUUUCUAUCUCAAAAAUUGAUUUAGUUGCGGGAUCAUAAAACUUGUAAUCCCUGGAUCUUUCAGAGUAUCCAAUAAAAUAACAACUAACCGUUCUUGAGUCCAGUUUCCUUUCAUUUGACCUAUAAGGUCUUGCCUCAGUUGGACAUCCCCAAAUAUGUAAAUGCUUUAACCUGGGUUUUUUUCAGGUCCAAAGUUCAUAAGAAAUUUUGAUAGUUACUUUAGUUGAAACUUUGUUAAAGUAUGUGCUGCAGUUUUAAGUGCUUCUCCUCAGAGUAACUCUGGUAAGAUAGAAUGACAUAUCAUAUUUCUUACCAUGUCUUUAAGCGUUCUAUUUCGUCUUUCAGUUACACCAUUCAUAGUGGGUGAACCUGGCAUAGUGUAUUGUGGUGCGAUACUACAUUCCUCUAGAUAUUUAGCAAAUGGUUCUGGACGUUGUUCACUUGAACCGUUAUUCUACCAUAGUACUCAUCACCACAGUCAGAUCUGACGCUUUUAAUCCUUUUGUUGAGUUGAUUCUCAACUUCAACUUUAAAAUUUUUGAACACAUCUAGUGACUGUGAUUUUUCAGAAAUGAGAUAUAUGUAGUCAUAUCUUGAAAAAUCGUCUAUGAACGUUAUAAAAUAUUGUUGACCAUUCCAAACAGAUAUAGAAAAUGGUCCAUAAAUAUCUGUUUAUAUAAGUUCUAAGACGUCUAAGGAUCUAUUGAUUUCAAAUCUCCUUUUAUUAGUUUGUUUCCCCUUUAUACAGUUAACAUAAUCAUCAAAAUCUAUAAAAUUUAAGGGAUCGAGAAUUUCAUUUGACACAAGUCUUUCCAUUCUCCGUUUGGAGAUAUAUCCCAAUCUCUUGUGUCAUAAUGCAGCUGAAUUCUCAUUGGUUAAUUUUCUCUUUACUCCUCUAGUACUCAAAUGCAGAGAUUUAUUAACUGAGGUAAUUGUAUCAAUUAAAUAUAGAUUAUCGUAGUGCAUUAAAGAAUCAGAACCAACCAAUUUUGAAUCAUGAAACAAUUCAAAUUUUUCAUUUUCAAAUGAACAAAAAUAACCAAAUUUGUCCAAAGCAGAAAUAGAAAUUAAAUUUCGUCGAAAAGACAGUAUAACAAAUAUUUCAUUAAGAUCUAAAUAAAAUCCGGUCUUUAACAAUAAUCUAAAAAUUUCUAUUGCCUAAACUUGAACUGUUUUGCCAUCGUCCACGUAGAUAUAUCUUUCAUUAUGAUUAGGCUUUCGAUAAUUCAGACAACCCUACAUAGACACACUGAUGUGAGUUGUUGCACCAGAAUCUAAUCACUAUGUGUGUCUAGAUACCGAAAUUAAAUUAAUCUCAGAACAAACCAAAUUAAGAAGCAUACCUUUCUUAGUACACCAAGUGUGAUAAUUAGUGCAAUGCUUUUUUUUAUGUCCUUCAGCUCUACAGAAGAAACAAAUAUUCUUUCCCUGAUCAUCUGAUUUCUUUUAUUGUUUCUUUUGUGGCGCUGUACCUGCAACUCUUUUUUCCUUCUUUCUCUUAAGUCCUUUGUUUUUAUUAUUAGUGGUUGACAUCAGAUGGACACUUUUUGUCUGAUCUUGCUUUAAUUUUUUCUCUUCCUCUACACAGUGUGAGAUGAGUUCAUUUAAAGACCAAAUCUCCUUUUGACAGUUAUAACUCAUUUUAAACUGACUAAAUUAUGUAGGAAGAGAUAUUAAAAUCAAAUGCACUAGUAAUUCUUCAGAGAGUGUCAAUUUAAGUGCAUUUAAUUUUGAAGGAAGAUGCGACAUUUUUAUAAUAUACUCUCUGAUAUUGCCUUUAUCACUAUAUUUUAUUGAAACUAGGCGUGUCAAGAGCGUACUAAUUUCAGUUUUUUUGUUUUUGACAAACCUUUUUUAAUGUCCUGAAGGAACUCUUUAGCGGUUACUGUUAUUUCUGACAUUGUUCCUCUGAAUGCUUUUGGAACAAUCUUUUUAAUGAUCAUCAGACACAAGCGAUUUGAUCUCUCCUACCUUUCCUUAUCUCUCUUUUCAUCAGAGGUACUCUGAUCUGUAAGAGGUGGGGGAGAGUCAUCCCUUAACGCAAGGUCGAGAUCCAUUACUUCAAGUAUUAUCAAGAGAUUUUUUUUCAGGAUUUGAAAUUUGUGUCGUUCAACAUAGGAAUAUUAUUGAUAUUGAUAGUAAUAUUUGUAAGAUCAUUUACAACUGAACAGAAAAACAUAAAAUAAUUAAAACUAUGCUCACUUAAACCAAAUAAUAAUAAAUUCAAAUAAUGAUAGCCCAUCUCAAGAUACCAAUGUUCCAUUAAUAUUUUAUUUUUGGACAAAAUAUUAACUUCCAAGUGAUAUGUUGGCGCAGUAAUAAACACUGACAAUAAUAACAUGUCAAAAAAUAAAUUUUCCUUUCGGCUAAUUUAUAAUUCACAUGUAAAAAUCGAAUAAUUCAUAUUUUAUAAUUCACAUGUAAAAAUCGAAUAAUUCAUAUUUUAUAAUUCACAUGUUUAUUACUAUAAGUGCACAUGUAACUUUAUUAAAUAUUGACCUUUCUUUGGGCCAAUCAAUAUUCAUAAAAUCACAAGUGCUCAACUGGUUAUAUUCUAAAAUAAAUUAAUUUCACAAUAGAAGUCACUUUGGUGGCAUAUUAUUUCAAUUAAUUUAUUUCAAAAAAUAUAUAAUCAUACCAAAAUUCAAAUUUAAAAUUAUACAAAUUAAACAAAAAUUUUGAUCAAAGUCAACUUUGGUUAACUCUGAUCAAAACAUGGUCAAAUAUGGUCAAACCAAUCAAAUCUAGUAAAACCAAUCAAUUGGAUCAAGACUUAUUUGGACCAAAAGUCAAUAUCCAUAAUUUGAUCCAAAUUUAUCAUGCAAGGCUAAAAUAUUUCUUGAAGUCCAUAAUGUUUUAUAAAACUGUAUAUUUAGUGGGCCAAACAUAUGGACUUUUGUUGGGUUUAAAUGUCUUGUUUAUCUUUAUUAAGGUUAACUUACAUUAGAGAAACCCUAAUAUCCUUAACAUAAAUGUAUUAAAAAUCAAUUUGCACAACAAUGAAUUGGCUAACUAAAAAUAAUGAAUCUGUGCAAUAAACAAUGAAUCAGCCAAGUAAAAAUAUCAAAGCCAACAACCAAGGUUUGACUAUCGUGGGACCUGACCGAAGGCAUAAAGACACAAUUCACGUCAAUCAACGUCACGAAUUGACAUCUAAGCGAUCAAUGUUGUGAGCAUAGAGACUGAGACGCAACGUUGGAACUUUUUUUUUUUUGUCGCAACGAUAGGAUUCUUAUAACCUACACUAGUCUAAUCUCGGGGGAAGGGGGAGGGGAUUCGAUGUGAGUAGAAACUUCAUCGAAUAUGGUCAACGAAAACCAUCACAUAUUGUGAUAAUUUUGGUGGGAGGCAAGAAUCGAACCCUUGACCUCCCAACACCACCAAGCCUUAGAAGGUUGGGUAGUAACGCUGGAACUUGAUUCAUGUUGUUCACAAAUUCACACGAUAAUCAUUAAGAAAGCACAUGAAUGACUUUAGCAAACAAGUAGUCUAGAUUCAUUGGCCAUGCAGCAAAACCAAAAGUGAUUGCAAUUCUUUUACGGAUUAUAAAAGCCAAAACACGAAACUGAAACAUACAACCAAAUCAUGAACAUGACUACAACCACAGAACAAAAUUGUUUGCCGUGAAAAUCAAAAACUAAAUUAAUCAUAGUUUUUUUUUUAAUAAAACUAUGAAUUACUAAAUCCAAACUAUUUCCUAAUAAUCAACCAUAUCCGGCUCUAAUACCACUUCUUAGGGUGGUUAUCUAAAAUUAACCUUUGGUGAAUACCAUCACCUAUUAAACCCAAAAUCUAUAUGGCGAUUAUUAAGAAAUAAAUUAACAGUGAAAUAGCGGAAGCGCACCUGGAUUCAUAUCGACAAACUGAUAUUUGAAUCUCCAAAGAUAUUGGGGUAGUCUUCCAGAUCAACAUGUAUUUGCCAAUUCUUGAGAGAGCCCUUUAGUAUCUCUUUGGUAUCUUUCCUGACGAUGGGAUAUCAGAGAAAAGCUAUUUUUUGUGGUACUAGAAAAUAUGACAAAUAGAAUACGUGUGACUUGGGGACCAUAACCCUAUUUAUAGAUAACAAUCCUCUUACCCUUUGGAUCCCUAUUUCAGUCCAUCAUAGAAAUAGAAAAUAUCCUUAAGUCUCUACACAUUAAAGAUCCACACCCUAUUAGAUACAUUAAGUCCAAACCAUAUUUGAUCACUUUAAUUGGAUUCAACCUUAUUUGACAGUUUGCAACCCAUAAUUAUUCACAUAUAAGUCCAACGUUGGAUUAAGGAUCCAACAUACUGCUCUUUGCAAAUGUUUUGCAUGCAAGACUUGCAUGAUUUCCAUUCUCCAUGGGGAAUCCAAAUAAGUUCUGUUGAUGUAAAAACUGCUUAAAUAAGCCGAUGGUGGGAGUCACAUGCUGCUAAAGGAUUGUAAAUGCACAACUACCGAAUUGAUUAUCAAGAAUUUGGUUAAUUGGCAAUCAAUGAUCUUUCACAAAAUUUACCAUACCAGUUUAGUGAUCAUCAUCCUCGAAUUUCUUGUUGAGAUUUGAAAAGUCAUUAAUCCAAGGUUAAUGAAGAUUUGUUCAUGAGAAAUUAGUUGGUUAUCAAUAAUAGUAUCAAUAAAAGCAAAUAAACCUGUGGUAUUGGAAUCAAAAUUCUUUAUCACCACAACAGAACAAUGCGUACAUCCAAUAAUCAUGACUGGAAAAAAAAACCCAAAUAGUUGAGAAACUAAACAAAUUUGUACUUACUUAGGGCUGAUAUGUUGACUUGGGACAAAAUUUGUUUUCUCUGAUUCAGUCCUGUAGUUCCCAAGGAACGUGUAUAUGGCGACUACAAUCCUGCAGUUUCUGCAGAGUUUGGAAUUUUUAAGUUUUAAACAUUAAUCUCUUUUGUUUCGAACACAACGGUGAGAAAAAAAAAAAGGAACUCUAGAUAUUGAUGGAAUCAUGUGUAACGAAGUCCAAUAAUUUGUCAUUUUGUGUCUCUAUAAUAUUAGCAUACAUAGACAUAUUUUAAAUAAAAGGCAUUUCUUAAGAAGAGUUGAUAUCGAGGUGCUAAACCUUUGCGUCCACGUAAGAUCUUGGCAAUUUUCAUGAUUCUUAAAAUUAUGUAGCUUGAAUAUUUUUGCUACGUUUCACAUAUCUUGUUCCUAACAUGGCAUUGUCAAGCAAUGCACUUGAUUGCAUUUAACUUCGUCAAGAAAGCUAAUAAAAUUUACAAAAUUUUCAUCACAUAAGCUACACUAGUCACUACUCUUAUUUUUUAAACUAAUUUCUAUAAAGGUGUCACGCGUCGAGCCCGCACGUGCCCGUCACAUGACAUUCGCCGUACUCCCAAGUUUCACUCAAGAAUACAAGGCUACAUUAACUAAUUUAACUUUAACAGCAUUAAAUAAUUUAACUAAAUAAAGUGCGGUACGAAUUACAUAUAAAAGAAAGUUUGCGAAUAUUCGAGACGUCCGUACAUUUAUUCUCUGAUUGAAACAGUGGGAACCAAAGUAAAUAAGACUAACAACUAGAAGGAGCCAGCCCGCCAGCAUCUAUUCAUCUAAAAUUAAUAAAAGUCAUCCUCAGGGUCUUCUACGUAAACCAACUCAUACUCUUCAGAAUCUGCAAAAAUGGUAAGAAGUGGGUUGAGCGACACAUCGCUCAGUAAGUAAUAUUUACCCCUCUGUUGGACCAUGUACUCAUAACUUUAUAAAUAUAUACAUAAGUACAAAUCAAAUCAUUUGCACAUCGAUCACUUCCAUAAUUUUGAAAGUAAUGUCAUUUAUAAAACAAUUAGUAGUAACAAGUGGCAAGCCAUUUAAAAGCAUCUUAUUGAUAAAUGAGCAUGGAAAAUCAUAAAGCCAUAAAUCAUUUCGUCACAAUUCACAAGUCUCUUCAUAUCCAAUCAUAAAACAAUUCAUAUCAGUUCGUAAGUCUCAUUUCAGACCAGUUCAUAAAUCAUUCCAUAUCCGUUCGUAAAUCUUCUUUCAGAUCAGCUCAUAACAAGUACAUGUGAUAACCGGCUACUGAGUACUCAGCCUAGAGAUUAAACCCCUUCUAGGUGGGCGACCAAUAGGUUUCAUGACUACCGAUUGGUCUCAUUUCAUACUUGGGUCAAUCAAUCGGACUUUAUACCAGACUACCAUGACAUUGUCAAUCGGCUGGACUCUAUACCAGACUACCAUGACCUUGCCAAUCGACCGGACUUUAUACCAGGCUACCAUGGCGAUUAGACAGGACUAUAGCCCUUACCGUCUAUUCCAUGACUGCUCUGAGUUUUACUUGUCAAAAAUUUCAUUUCACGUGUCACAUACAUAAAUCUUUGAGGUCAUAAAGGAUUCAACUCGUUUGUAUAUACUAACAUUUCAAAACAUUUCAAAUAAGUCACAUGGUCCAUUUUUGUAUAGUAAGAUAUAACUUUCAUAAAUAUCCAAAUAAAGCAUUUAAUCAAACCCCUUUCGAGUCAACACAACAAAAUAGGAUUGAAAACAAGAAUUUCAUUUUGCACAUUUGAAAUCUCAGAAGAGUAAGUACCACCUACCUUUGUCUGGCUGAUUGAGUGGAAUUACUUUAGCUCUUUUAAACUGGUGUCGUACCUAACAAAUGCAUAGGUUUCCUAAUUAGUUGGUAUUUUCUAUAGAUGCAUAAAUAUACAAACUCUGAGUAAGUCAAAGAUUCAUGCCUAAACCAUUAUAUGAACCCUAGCAGCCUUUUCUUAAAUUGAAUGAUUUCUAUUUUUAGAAAGUUUCCUAAAUUGGAAAGUUCCUAUUUUUAGAAAGUUUCUUAAUUUGAAAAGUUCCCUUUUGUAAAGUUUCCUAAUUUAAAGGAACAUAAUUAUUCAUAAUCCUGUUUAUUAUCCUGACUACUAUCUUACUAUAUUUAUUUAUAAUUUAUAAUUAUUCAUUAUUAUUAUUAUCGUCUCCAUCGUCGCUAUUUUAUUUUAUUAUCAUUUAUAUAUAUAUAUAUAUAUAUAUUUGUAAAUUAGUUACUAUUAUCUUUCGCUUUACUUCCAUUCUUGUGCGUGUGUAGGUGUUAUUAUUAUUUAUGUAUACAUGUACCUAUAUAUAUAUAUAUAUAUAUGUUGACUUAUUAUUAUAAUUAUUGUAUUAGUUUAUUACACUUGUAUUUAUAUUUAUAUUUUCGUUCAUAUCCUUAAUUUAUUUCAUCUAUAUCUAUAUCUAUAUUGUUGUUGUUAUUAUUAUUAUUAUUAUUAUUAUUAUUAUUAUUAUUAUUAUUAUUAUUAUUAUUAUUACCAUUAGUGUUAUCGUUAGUAUUAUUAUUAUUAUUAUGAUUUUACGCGUUCCGUUUAACAAUUUAGGACUUGUCUUACAUUAUAUAAAUUAAUCUAGUAGGGCAAGAUUAAAAUGUUCUAGAUUUCUAUUUAAUUAUUUAGACUUAAUUAAUUAAGUACAAGCUUUGAUGACUAAACUUCAAAAAUUAUUUCUAGAUUGGAUUUUGUAAUUUAAUACCCAUGAUAAGCUACUUAACAAUUCAAUAAUUUAAUGAAUUCAGAUUUUAGAUUUCAUAUUUCAAAUUUCAGUUUUCAAACUUCUGUUUUAUUAAACGCACCCUUAGUCAUGGUGAACUCAAAAAUUCCUGAUUGAACUAAAAUCCAAAAACAAUAAUCGCUCCCCUCUAGCUGUCGAUGACUAAAUGUGGACAUAUCUCUCUGUGUGUAUAUAUAAACAAGGCUAAAGUCCGAAGAAUAGGCGAUGGUAGCUUUCAAGUUUCAACCACUCAAAAUUCCUCAUUGAACUAAAAUCUACAACAACAACAAAAAAAUAUCGGUCCCCUCUUGCAGAUUCAAAUAACAAACUUUUCCAUCUAUCUAUCCAAAAUUGGAUUCUAACUCCACUCUCUAUUGUAUUGAGACCAAAAUCAACAGUCCAUUACUUAAUUAACUCCCAAAAAUUCGUUUGAGGCCCUAAUAUAAGCAUCACAAAAUAGUGUAUUUUAAACAUCUUGACAAUAGUAAGAGCGAAUUGUCUUAAAUUUGGAUGAUGAAAAAAUUAUGGCAAAAUUAAAAAGAGUAAUAAAAAACAAAUUAAAUCACAAAAAUAGCAAUCAUGUUCGAAACUUCCUAGUGAAACAUUACCGGAAAAGAUUAUUGUUUUCUGAUAAAAGGUAGAGAAGCAAACCAGCUGUACAGAAGUCAUAAAAGAAAACAGCUAAGUUUAACAAAUAACACAAUAGGAUACGCAACCAACAAUUAUAAAUAACUAUUUUAUAUCACAUACGUUACAUCGAAAAAAAUAUACGGACACUGGAACCCAAACUCACAAACUCACAUCCAAAAAACUAUACACAUACUUCUCACAACUCACAAACCUAAACUAUUGGAACACGGAUAUUGUUCAUUUUUUACUGCUAACGUCAUCCAUAUCAAGUGCAAAUUUUGGAUCGGACUCCUGAUUCAUUUUAUUUGGGAAUCGUUGCAAUUAAAGCCUGAUCAGUUCCUAUUAAUUAAAGGCGCGCUCUCUACUCUACUCUGAACCCAGCCCUUAUCUUUGCUCUUUCUACUUUCAACCUUCUCUCCGCCGGUAUUCCUCCAUAGAAUGGAGAUCUUGGCUUCAAGUCAAGGUUUUCCUUCCUCUUUCUCUGUUUUUGUUUUAGGUUUAAUAAAAUCUUUCUUAGAAUAUUCUAAUGAGAGUUUUGUCUCUUCUAAUGUUUUACUAGUGAGAGUUUUCAUAUCUCACAGGUUAUUCUAGUAGGAAUUUUGUUUGGUUUUUGUUAUUUUUCUCUUCGAUUUAAGAGUUUUUUUUCAAAUCUAUAUAUUAGAUAUGGAUUUCUUGAAUCUUUUUGUCCGAUCUCAACAUUAGUUUUGAAUUUGAACCAAUUUGGUAGAAGAUCUAAGGGAAUAGAUGGGUGUAGACAUUUAUGGAGCAGCUCUGUAAUUGAUUAGAUAUGAUAAUUUGUGAUUCACAGUGUAAUCUUUUAUAUUUUAUAACUUUGAUAAAUUUAAUGAGUUUUUAUAUCACAUAUAUUUGCGAUAUGUUCUAUGUAUUUUCUACCAUUUGUGCAGUUUUAUUUAUCAAACAAAUCGUGUUGGACGAUUUUUAGCUAGUUUAUUAAUAAUAUUGGUUUUUUUUUUAUCAGAAAAGUUCCUAUUAAUUAAUGAACAACUGCCUUACUAAGAAAAAAAAAAAAAGGUACCUUACAAUCAAAUGGUUCGGUUGCUUUUCUUUUCCCUUUUUUGUUAGAGUGCAUGUGAAUGUAUUUUGUUUGGACAGUGAAUUAUUUGUCAAAAUUUACAUCAUUAACACAUUUUUUAACCACCUUUUUAUCUCAUAUACAUCACAUCAAUAAAAUGUUAUUGUAUUUUUUUUAAAAAAAAAUUAUUCAAAAUAAUCUACUAUCCAAACUUUCUUCUUUGAGUUGAUGAAUGUCAUCACAUAAUCCAAUUUUAUAAAUAAAAAAUGAUUUGUUAGUAAAAAUAAAAAUAUUAUUAGUUAAUAAAACUAAAAUUGUUUAUACCUAAAAUGUAACAUAUAUUAUUAACUAACAAAUAACCUAAUAUUUGACAGGCAUAUAGAAAAUAGAAAUGUAUAGAACAGUAAACUUGACGCCUACAAUUUUUGUGUUUCUUACUACAGUGCAAGUACUUCGGAGUGGGAAUGAGUUUUCCUUAGACUUUUCCAAAUUUACGUUAUUAAAAAGUUAAUUUUAAUAUUAUUAAGUCAUAUAUGUCUAAAUCAAUUAUUAUUAUUUAUAGAAUGUCUUCUUAUUUAGUAGCGUAGUAGUAAAUCAACUCUAAGUAGGGGAAGGAUGUGUUGGGUGGUACGGAGGGAGGGAGUGUAAGUAAGAGGUCUCGGGUUUAAGUCCUUCCAUUUACACUAAAAAAAUCAACUUUAAGUAAUAAUAAUAAACUAAAGAAAAUGGAUAGGUGCAUAUUUAAUAACUGGUCCCCGCAUCAUCUUUUAUGUUAUUAGGUUCACACUCCCUGCCCUGCACAAACAAAUUACUUUCUUAUAUUAACAAAAUGAUUUCUCCAACUCUCUUUGUCCUAAUUAUUUUGUCCUGUUUUGAGAAUCUAACAUUUUAAAAAUAGUGAUUUGUAUUGUGAUGUUUGUGUUUGUCUUUUCAAUUUUACCUUCACAAAUUCAAAUUUGAAUUUGAAUGAUAAUAUAUAUAUGAUUAGAGGUAAGGGUUAUAUUGGAAAGAGAGACUAAAAGAUGCUUUGAUUUUUUAACAGUAAAAAUAUUUUGAACAUUCUAAAAUAAAAAAUAUGAGACUUUCAAUGGAAUGGAAAAGAAUUUCUUUAUGCCUCACAUGACCCACUUGCCCCGACAGCUUAGGUGUUGCAAUCCUACCAAAUCAACGGCCUUUACAUAUAGUUGUUGCCAAAUUGGAGUUAGUGCAUUAAUAAUUUACUCCUCUCUAAUUUGAAUUGGAGUUGGUGCAUUAAUAAUUGGAGUUUGGUGCACCGGUUAAUAACUCGUUGCCCCGAACCUAUUGGAUGGUAACACUUUAGGACUUUACCACCAUGUUUCGUACUUUUAAUUUUGACAACUCAUAUGCAUAGUUUUCUUUUCAAAUUACCCCUAAACUGCCUAAUUUCUCAACAGUCAACUUUUAUACCGUUGUAUUUUCUAUUAUAUAUUCACUAUAAUAUUCUACUAUUACAUGCUAUGAUAUUAGAUUAUAGUAUAAAUUAAAUAAAAAAAACUCCACCAAUCGCCGCCUUAUACUCGUCCUUUUUCAAGACCAUGUGGGCACUUUCAUUGUGACCACUAUUAUUUUUUAUUUGACAUAAUUUAAAAAAAAUAUAUAUAUAUAACAUCAAUAACAAUCAUAAUUAUAAGUCUUUUGAAUAUUUGGCCAAAAAUAACAAAUGCAAUUCAGUCAUUUUUUCACAUUUGAUAUUAUGCAAAUCUAAAUCAAUGUCUAUGGAUUUUUUUACAAACAAUAUUCAAGAUGUGACAAAUAAAAAAUCAAGCAAAUUGACAUAACAAAAUCAUAGUUUUACUACAAAACAUAAAUAAUUGCCAAGAAAGGGUACAUUAUUUUAUCACAACAAGGUGUUAUUUCAAAAUAUAUAUUUUUAAAAUUUAGGGUGGUGAAGUGCUACCACCCCGUAAAUUCAGGGGAACGAGGUGUUAUUAACCAAAAGGUGCACUUCAUGCAUCAAUGUUUGGACAUGUAAGCGAAAAGAUGGCCAUUGGCCAAAAAAACCGGCUGGGUAAAAAAUUAUGAAUGUAUAAAUUCGAUUCAUUGGAAAGUUGAGCAGUUGGAGGACAGCCAUGUGACACAAUGACUGAACAUUGUAUAGCCAAAAUUUUUAAAAAAAAAUGAAAAUGAUGGACGAAAAAGGGCAGCGAAAGGCAUGAUCAGAAAGCAAAAGUGCUUCUUACUGGACUAACCCCCUCGCUAUUGCAUUGGAAGCAAUAUCGAAGGGGCAGUUUUAUUUUAAAAUAUAAGGAAGGGGCAAAGUGCCUAUUUAUUGAAUUGAGAAAAGUAAAGUAUAAUUGAGAGUAAAUUUUAGAACCGUUUAAUGCUUUUAACAUUAAAAUUUAUUUAAAAUUUAUUUUCAAAAAUCAACACCACUCAUAAUAUAUUUUAUUCUUUGUGUUAAUUAGAAAGAGAAUUUUGUAUGAAAGUUAUCAAGUUUUAUCAUUUGAUUGAUCAGUACAAAUUUUGUCACGAUUUUGACCCAUUUUUACCAUUCAAAUGUUUUGUGUAAAUUAAAUUUCAAAAUAUUUUAAAAAAUAUCAUCUCUUAGUAUGUUGAUUUAAAAAUCAAAAGAAAAGCAAUGACACAAUUGCAUAAAUCAAUAAUAUUAUCUAAAUUUAAAUAUAAAUAAAUUAGAGAAACCAAUAGAGAGAAAUUUAAUGGAGAGGAUCCUAACACAUUGCUGUUAUGUACUUCCUCCGUCCCAACGGAAGGGACGCUAUUCAAAACUUUAGGUUGUGUUUAGAUUGCAAAUUUUUGGAGUUCUUAUAGAAAAUGUAUUGUAACGAUUUGAUAUAUGUGAAGUAAAAAAGUGAUUGAAAAAUGUUUUCAUGAAAAACAUAUAGAUUUUUUUGGUAAAAAAUCCAUUUCCAAACAAGGUCUUAACUUUUUAAGCAAAGUAGAAGCAAAUUUGUAUUUGAGCUGUUUGUACCCUCUUUGCCCCCGUUCUUUUUUUUUACAGCAACGAUAACAUUUCUAUACCCUAAUUUAAAGGGAAUGGGAGUCUAAAGAAACUAUGUAUAAGAGCCUAGUAAAUAUAAGAACUUAUGAAACUAAAGAGGUGUUCUGACUUCUUCGUUAAAUUUUUUUCAUUAUAAGUGGAGUUCGAAUCCCUAACCUACAACACAAAGAGGACUUUAAUCUCUUUUUUAUGGGUACUGUGAUUUGGCUCGGCGGUUCUCUUUGCCCCAUUGAUAAGUGAAAAAAUUCGUAGAAUCACGAAAGAAGAUGCCGUUGGUCUCCCGACAUUUUAAAUCCAUUUUAUGCACAGUAAGAACCACGCACCAAAGUUGACCACAUAUAUUUGUGGUGCCGUCACACACCAAUUCUUUCUUCCAAAUAUAUUUUUUCAUGGGUCCAAUAAUUCUUUUAUCAAUACCUUUAUUCUAACAAAUCAACAGCCUUUACCUUUGGUAAAAACUACCUACUACAGUUGGAUCCGAAUUUUUUUAGUAUAAAGUGUCAUUAAACUCCUUUUAACUCCUUUAAGUCUUUUAGAUCAUGUCGUCUUAUUUAACAUGUUUUAAGAAGUUGAGUGACUUUUUUUGACAAAAAAAAUAUAUAUUUUUUUUAAGGAGUUGAAUGACUCUUUUUGACCAAAAAAUUUUUUUAAAAAAGUUUGAUCACCAAAUAGUAUCAUUUUAAAUAGUUUAGUCACCGUUUUUCAACCAAAAUGGAGGCCUUCACGUGGAAAAUCAACCCUUGCAUCAACGAAGGCUUAUUUAAGUUGUUAUGGCAUCAACGAAAUUUGUCUGGAAUCUGGAUUCCACAUGGAGAACGGAAAUCAUGCAAGUCUUGCAUGCAAAACGCUUGUGGAGAGCAGUAAAUAUAUGGUGAAUAAUGGAAAUCACUACAAGAAAACUAAAGGAAAGCCUGAAUCACACCCCAUGGCUGGUGGAAAUGAUUCUAAGAGCUAUGCUCAAAACUCCAGCUAUCAGAUAUUCUCACAAAAUAUUUUUCAUUUUUUAAUAAAAAAAAAAGGUGGAAAUGGUUCUAAGAGCUAAGCCUGAAACAUUUUUUUUUCAUUUUUCAUUUUUCAUUUUCACAAAACCAUUCCAUCACGUACCACUCAAUUGACAUUGUGCAUGUGAAUUUUUGUGUCACACUUCCUAUAGAAAGGGGUGAUUGAAGCUGCAAAAUGUGAAAUUGUACAAGCAAUUAAGGAGAAGCUGGAAAACGACUGGCCAAGACAUUUGUGAUUGCUGAUUAUGGAUGUUCCACUGGACCCAAUGCAUUCCUUGCAGUACAGAACAUUGUUGAAGCAGUGGAGCUAAAGAACAAAUCUCUGCAACAGAGCCCACCUCUCGACUUCCAUGUUUUCUUCAAUGAUCUUGUAGACAAUGAUUUCAAUACUCUCUUCAAAUCCCUCCCUUCACCCCGAAGAUAAUUUGCUGCAGCUGUACCUGGCUCCUUCUACAAGCGUUUAUUCCCUAAAGCUAGCCUUCAUUUGGCUAAUUCUUCUUAUGCACGCCAUUGGUUUCAAGGUUCCAGAAGAAGUUGGAGAUCAUAAUUCAUUGGCAUGGAACAAAAGCAAGGCAUAUUGUUCGGGCACAAACAAAGAAGUCACAGAGGCAUAUUUUGCUCAGUUCCGGAAAGAUCUCAACAGGUUUCUGAAUGCUAGAGCAGAAGAACUUGUCAUAGGCGGCCUUUUGGUGAUUUAAUUACCCGGUGUUCCGAGCGGCACCCUUCCUUUUAAUACCGGUGCAGGCUUCCUCCAAGAGCUGUUAGGAUCAUGUCUUUUUGAGAUGGCCAACUUGGUAGGAUCUGACAAUUUCCAUCUUCAUUUUAAUUUGAUCUGUAAUGCAAGUAUUGGGGGUCACACUCAUCAGUUCAAAUGAUUUCUUCUGGCUUUGUGGCAGCUUGUUUAUGUAUGCUGCAGGGAUUUAUCAGUCUAGAAAAAGUGUAUUCAUUCAACUUGCCAAUGUACUUUCCAUCAAUUGAAGAAUUAGACCUGGUUAUAAAAGGGAAUGGUCAAUUUAAAGCAGAAAGAAUAAAGAUAUUGGAUCACCCAAUGCAGCACUUGCCUUUUGACGCAAAAAUGACUUGCUUGCAGACCAGAUCUGUCUUUGAGGGCUUCAUCAAAGACCAUUUCGAAAUAGACAUUGUCGAUCAACUGUUCGAUCAAUUUGCUAAGAAACUUGAAGAAAGUUGCUCAAUCUUUGAUCAGGAAAUUCGCAAAGAUACUGACCUAUUUGUUCUGCUCAAACGCGUCUGUUGAAGGAUUGUUGUUUGGUUGAUUUACUAUCUAAACUGAUAUGCACUUAUUUUUGUCUCAUAAAGUAUCACCAAAGUUAUGGUGACAUUUCUUUUCUCUCAACUGUUGAUUGUCUACAUACUUGAUCAUAUUCAUGAUAUUCAACUCUCACGUAGAGCUGAGAUUUUCUCAAGUCAACUUUCUUUGCUGGAUUUGGGUUCUCAUUCUACUUGGCCAUUAUGCUUUGAUCUAAAAGACUAGAUUAUAGUUUUCUCAAAUAAAUGGCUCCUCGAGUCAAGUUUUCAGGAAAACCUACUCGUCAGCUGAUGUUUUGGCUUCUUUACAAUCUCAUCCUCAACAGUGAACGACAGCUAUUCUUGUAUAUCCUUGAGGGACUUACCAUGAGACAUUCGGGCGAAAGUUGCUUUAGAUUGUGUAGCUAUGUCUAGUUCAAAUUGAUUCGUGCAAGUCUUAAUCCAUCGGUGUAAACACAUACAGUUUUGAUAUAAUGGUGAACUUUACAGCAAAAUAGUUAUAUGAGUUGAUAAUUCAAAUUUGUACUCAAGUUAUAGGAAUUUAUAUCAGAAGUUAUAUAAGAAUUACAUCAACCAGUUUGAACGAGUCAGAAUUCAACUUGUCAGGCAUGUUUCCCUUAGUUAUCUGACUGCACUAAUCUUUGUGAAGUAUAGACUAUAAAUUGCAUCUUCUUGACCGUUAGACAAUGAUUUAUGCUGUUUUAUGCUCCGGAAAUUUACUUGCUCCUUUUCUUCUCAGUCUUCAUAAACAGAGUUAGUAAUAAUGUAUUUGGUAACGUUUUUUUAUUUCUCUUUUUUGCUAUCUAAAUUUGGUCAAAGUCAUCCAAGACAGUAUGCUCAAAACUAAGCGAAACAUUUCAUCAAAAGUUGAUUAGUUGUAGCUUGUCCUGAAUUUCCAUUUUGAAUUUGCUAAGGGAAAUAUUAUUUGCACUCCAUUUUUUAUUAUUUAUACUCUCACUGUUUUUUUUUAUCAUAUAAUCUAGUAAAUGAAAAUUAUAUAAUUAAAAUAAUAAUGAAAAUGUGAUUAACAAAAAUAGGAGUGUAAAUAACAUUUUCCUUUUCUAAAUAUUUCUAAACAACGCUCCAAACUGACUGUCCUUCUCAAGAUCUUUCCUAGAACCUUGUGUUGACAGAAGUAAUUCUUAAAUGUCCACUUGGUUUGACCCCAUAAAUUGUGCCAUCAACAUAAGUUGGCUUAGUUGGUAAGGAUCGGUAAUUUCCUUAUAAAAGCUCAUUUGUUUGAAUUUCGUUGUAGAUGUGAGAAAUGUGUUGAUGGACGAUCCGUAAAAACCUUUAUAAACGGCAUGUGAUUCCGGAAGCAUACUUUGACGCAUGGUGCUGAUUGAAGGCGAACUCACCCAAACUUUUUUUAAUUGAAAAAAAAAAAUGUCUGCAUUACUUUCACCAGCCGCCUAGUGGCCUACUAAUGCCUGUAGUUACCCUUGAGGUGCCGGUCAAUUAAGUACAAUUACUAGUCCGGUGCGCGAUUUGCUCUAGAUGGCGUAGUUUUAAUUUUUAAAUGGAUUAUUAUCACUUUACCCCCUUAAACUAUAUCACUACUAUCAGUUUAUCCUCUAAUGUUAUUUUUUAAUCAGUUUACCCCCAUAAAUAAUUCAACUCAACAUGUUAAGAAAUUUUGGACAAAAAUACCCUUUUAUUUUAUAGCAUUACUACAAUGUUAUUAUCAAUUUAUUCGUUUAGAUUACAGUGAUACAAUUACUUUAGUUCCUAACAUUAUUUUUUAGGCAUUUAUCUCAUCAUUAAUCUAACUAGUAUGGUCAAAAAUUUUAAAUAUAUUUACCCUUUUAUAUAUAAUUAAAAAUAAAAAAGUUGGAAUGGUUAUUCUUCUUUUUUUCACUUUGAGAGAUUGAAAAACAUAAAAAUAAAAGGGUUUUCUCAAAUUUCUUUUUUUCACACUUAUUACUACUAGGAAAAGAAAAAAAGAUAGAAAAGAAGAAGCAAGAAAAUUAGAUUUUGCAAAGAAAGAAAAUAAAGAAAAGUCUAACAUUAUCGUAUUACAUUAAGGUUGUCGGGAUUAGGAUUGGAAUUUGGUAGUAAACAGAAAAGUGAAAUAAUUUUAAAAUAAUAAAAUAUUUAAUUCUUCCUUAUUUGUAAUUUUUAAAAAAAGAAUUGAGCUCUCUCCCUCUCCCCCUCCCCCUCUCCAUCUUUCUAUUCUUUUUUGAUAUUAAUAAGAUUGCCAAGAAGAAAUAAAUUAAUAUUUUGACUUUUUUCCUUGAUACUAAAAAGGAGAAGAGCUCUCUAAAUUUUUUAUUAUUUUUAUUAUGCAAAGAGGAAGGUAUUUUCUUCUAAAGUUUUUUAACUUGCUAAGUUGGUUUAAUGAUAGGAUAAUUGUCUAAAAAAUAACUCUAUGGGGUAAAUUAAUAAUGAGACUAUAGUUUAUGGGGGUAAAAUGAUAAUAAUUUUAAGGGUUAAACAUGUUUUUUUAUUUUAAUUAACAAAUUCGGUUAAGUUUGACUGUUAGUCUUGGAGGUAAAGUGACUAAAAGAUAACGUUAAGGGAGAAAUUGAUAAUGGCACCAAACGGUAAGGGGAUAAAGUGAUAAUAACCCUUUUUAAAUCUUUAAUUGUUUCUACUGCUGCAGUUGUGCUUCUUUUUUAAUUAUUGUAUUUUCCUAUUCUAAAUAUUGUAUCAUUUGCUCGAGGUUAGGUUUUUGUCCCUUUCCACGUGCUUUUAAUUUUGCUUAUAAAUAAAAUUUAGAGCCAACAUCCCUCAUUUAUAGAGUUUUGCCAAAAGAAAAAAAAAACUCUAACCUAGAGCAUUAGGUGCUGUAUGUCUAUCAGUAUUAAUUUUCAGAUUGUCAAGCGUAGGUACGUUUAAAUAUUCAGGCAACAAAUAUUGAAAAUGGGAGUUGAUAAUGCCACAACUUUAAUGUUAAUGUCAUAAAAAUUCUUGCUUUAUUGUCCACAUUACCCUUCAGGAGUGAAAACUUUUUAAACAAUUUUUUUAUACACCUUCAGUGUAAGGAUUGUUUUACACCAACUGAAUCAUGUCACAUAAAAUAAAUUCAAAUUUAAAAUUUAAAUUACGCACAUAUGACAUAUAUUUAAAGCUGCUAAUGUAAAAAAUCAAUACAUUAUCAAUGUAUAGAACUGUUUUAUGAUGCCCUUUUUUAUGGGUUUCACUUCUAUUCCUAUCUUUCUUCCUUUCUCACUAAUCCAUCCUUUUUUCCGAAGUUGGCAGGAAAAUACAGCAAUUAUUGCUUGUGAACUGCAAACAAAGCAGCUGCCGUAUCCUCUUUCAUAUCUUUUUCAGAUGGAUGAUUCUAUGGAACUGUACGAGGUGUUCUACAGUAGGUAAAACCUGAUGCAGCUGUCUAGAAGUGGCAAUCAGAUCAAAAAUGGAUUGGCAGAUUAGGUCAAGGCUCGGGUAUAACAGAAGGCCCACUGACUCGAACACAACCCACCAACCCAUGAUGGGUCAACAUGCUUGACCCGAACACGAAGUUUUCAGGUUGGCGGGUCACCUGAUAUGACCCAAAAUAUAAUUCCAAUUUACUAGCCUACCGCUAUAAUUUCUAACAGAACCAAUUCUGCACAAAACUAAUUACAUAAUCAAGUAAUAAAAACCUCAAUAAAACAAUUCCAAACCAGAUUUGAAAUAAAUUAAAACACAAUAAAAGUGUUUUAUCCCUAACCAAAUUUGAAAUAAAUUAAAACACUUAAAAAGUAGAAAAUAAUGUAAUACAUCAUUUGUCCAAACAUCACAAUUCUAACUUCACACAACCUAAACAAAUUCAUUUAGGAUUAAGUAGUUAAUGCCUUGGAGAAAAAAAAUAAUAACUUAGUUUAGUUCGAUAAAAUAUUUUUUAUAUUUAUUAAAUUAUUUUUAGUUCAUAAACGGGUUAUCAGGUCAACUCUUAGGUGACCUGAAUUCAAAUGUUUUCUUUUCAGGUUCAAUAGGUUUGACCCAAUUCUGACUCGAAUCCACAAAAUAUCAACCCAAACCUAUUAAUUUUGUAUUACUUUUGUGUCGUAUUUUCAGGUCGUGGCAGAAAUUGCCAUCCCUAAACCUGUCGCAUCAUUACGUUUGUGAUAGCACAACAAUGCUGACUUGGGUGUGGGGCAAGCUGUAGGAAAUUCAAACGCCUGGUUAGACCAUUGUUUUGAAAACCGGACUACACCCACCGAUUCGACUAGUUGGAUCGCGAGUUCAUAGCUCCGAUUUGGUUCAUAUUUUGGGUUGAUUGGACUUAAAAACUAGAUUGAAUCAUUCGAACUGUGCGAACCAUGCAAACCGGAUUGAAUUGUUGAAUCGAUGGUUUUUUUGUUUUUGUCUAUUAAAUUGAUAAAAAAUUGAAAAAAGAAUAGGUUUCCUUAACCUUAAAGGCUAAUUAUUAAAUGCCAUAUUCACUCACUUUCUUCUUAUUUUUUGCCUCUUAUCCUGUUUGCAUCUCUAUUUUCUAUUUUCUUGACUUCCUCCAAACUUCAAACUUCUUUUUUUUUUUAAAUUGCAAUAUCUAAAUCUAAAAAAUGUGAAUUAAAAUUUAAACUCACAAUGUCCAAUUCCCAUAGAUAUGAAUUUUGUAUAAUUUUAGAAUAUUGUGGUAUUUUUGGGUCGGAUUUAAGAUUUUUUUUGGUAGAUACAAUUAAAAUUGAGGUGAAAUUUAUUUGUUUUAACUUAUAAUUUUAAAAAAUUAUUUUUAAAAUCCAAGUUCUUUGAAAAUAUUAAACUUUUCAUCAUAUGAAGUUUUAAAUUAGUCCAUCACAUGUUUUAUUUUGUGCAUAUAUAUUUAUAUAAAUUAUUUUUUUUAGAAAAUUUAUUGAAUCGGGAUUGAAUCGGUACAACUGAUUAAAUUUUGACUCAAACACUCAAUCGGUUCAAUUAACGGUCUGAGUUUCAAAACAUUGGGCCAGACAAAAGAGUGACGGUAUAAGGGGUCUGCUAAAUUUAUUUUCAUAUGACCAAUUGUUUUGAAUUAUAUGAUAAGGAUAAAGACUUGUGUAACCUCGGCCUAAGCCUACGAGCCAACUUGUAGAUCGAGCAAUGAAAAAUUUGCCACGUCUUCAAAACUUUUUUUUUCCUUAAUACCUUUAGAAGCUCUUGAGCAUUCUACUCUGCGUAUGUUUCUUGAACAUGAAAGAAACUCUUUGCUUAGACGUAGGUUGCAAUCUUGGGUGCAGAUCUGGGUUUUCUGCAAACCUUAUGAGCUUAACAACAAAACAUUGAAAUCUAUAUCUUAUAUUUUUUGAGAAAGAAGGGAAGAAAAUACGGUGAACGAGAACGAAAAUGAAGGCCGUGGGUGGUUCUCAACAGUAGUGCUGGUGAUGGCAAAAAGGGAAGGGAAAUGACCGAAAUCAUGGGUGGAGGUAGGCAAGUGUUUAUAAUGGCGGUGGUGAUGAGUUGGCUGGGCGGUGGAUGGUGGGAAGUACAAGCACUUCUACUGGGGAUUGAGGGCCAUUCGGGAUUGAGAUAAUUUAUUGAAAAAUAUUUUUUCAAUAAAAUUUUUAAUAAAAGUACUUAUUAAGUGCUUAAGUGCUUUUAAAUAUAGUAUUUGAACAUAUAGUUCAAUAAAUUCUUAUUGUACUGGAUAAUAUGUUAUUUGAAAAUUUUUAAACGUAUUUAUCUAUUUAUUUAGUUUAUAAUAUAGAAUGAAAUGAUUAAAUUUAUUGUUUUAUUUUUUAAAUCAUAAAAAUUACUUUAAAAGCACCAAAUUUGAGUUUUUGCUAAAAGUGAUUUUAACACCAAAAUCUCCACUCAUAAUUUCAUGUGAUAAUGUUUACCAAACGCAUUAAUAGUGCUUUUAACAGCUAAAAGUGCUUUUUUUACUAAAAGCACCGCAACCCCAAACGGAUCUGAGAAGUGGAGUUGAGAAGUCUCAGGAAGCAUACUAAUUUGUUGGAGAAGUGAACAAAGCGUGACUUGUGUUUGAGGGAGUAUUUUGAUUUUUGAAGUAAAAAAAAAAAUCAGUUUAAUGAUUUGUGUCGCUCCCCAUUUUUGAAAAAAAAUAAAAUUACGGGUUUAUAAAAUGAAUUUUUGAUUAAUUUUGAGUGAAAAUGAGUUUUUGAUCUUUAAAAAAUAAAUAAAAAAUGGGCCUAAAUGGGACUUAAAAGUGCAACGAUUUUGGCUCCAAAAUAAUAGUCUAAAAAGGGUUUUUUAAGGAAAAUAGAAGUCGCUACUUGGUAUUGAAUUAAGGUGUACCAAGUUAUCUAAAAUGAAUUUUUAAAAAAAAAAAUGUAGAAAAAACCCUUUUUAAACUACUUGAAGUCUACGAAAAUUAAGAGAAAAGAGCUCGGGAGUCACGGUUGAAGAAAGGGAAGGCAAGGAUAAAAUCCAAUGCACCUUUUCAACCUAGCCAAGGCUAGUUGGGUAAUUUAGUAAAAUAUUUUUCUUAUUUUAACCUAAAAAUUUAUCACAUUGGAUGUCACUAUAUGAAUGUAAACCUAGACCUAAUUUAUAUCGGAAGAGUCGAUAUGUCUCUUCGAAUUUUAGUUGGUGCAAAUCGCAUUAAAUUGCGAUGCCCAAAAGUGACUCUUUGAAGAGGUCACGAGUGUGCAAAAUAUGAGACUCAAAGAAAAGAAAAGAAAAUAAUAAUUAUACAUAUAUACAUGACCUAAAGGAAUGCAUCACAACGAGUGCCGGAGGGGGGCUAAAAUUCGUGACUCAAUUUUCCCUUUUAUAGAGGGAAUACGAGUGUACUAAGGCUUAAGAGGCCAUACUCGUCCAUAUCCCAUAUUUAAAGGGUUAAUUCUCGUAAUUUUUUGCCAAGCAAAUGAAUUAACUUAUGUCUAACUUUCCUUAAAUGAAAUGCAAGUCUAAUGUCAUGUUUUGUACAUAGGGAUAGGGGAUAUUUAUUAGGGGAAAUAUCAUGCAAAAGUGAUCAUAAGAAUCCUAAAAAGUGGAAAAAUAUGCAUGAAAUGUAGUGAUUUGUCACACAAGUAUGAUCUAAUGCGUGGACGGUUUCUAAGGGUCUAGCGUUGGACUAACCCAUGUCUAUAAGUUCUCACUAGUGUUGGACUAGUGAGAAAUCGAAAAAAAUGGCCUCAACUAGCAUUGGACUAGUGAGAAAUCGUAAAAAAGGGCCACAACUAGCAUUGGACUAGUGUGGUGACGUUAUGCAUUUAUUAUAAUCCCAUAAGUCAUAUAAAACAUAAUAAAAGUAAAUAAACAUAUAAAUCACAUAUAGCACAUAGCACAUAGCACAUAAGCAUGAUAUCUAGAUGCAAAAAUCCUAAGAAAGCGAGUAAAUACAUAAGCACACAAGCGUGCAAACAAAUAAAAGCGAAUAAAGACCUAACUAUUACAUUUGGGGGCCCUAACUACAAUCUAAAAGGGGAGGGAAUGAAAUGAAAUAAAAUAAUAACCUAACUAUUACAAUUUGGCAUUUAAUCGCCUUUCAAAUAAUCAAAAAUUAAAUUAAAAUAAAUAUACAAAAUUAAAACAAAUAAAGUGAAUAAAUAACUAGAUGAGAUAAAAAAAAACAUUCAAAAGAGCAUGCCAUUACACACAAAAAGUCACAUAGGAGCACCUAGGAUCAACUAAAAUCAAAAUAAAUGAGUAGAGUGUACCUCCCUUGAAUUGGUGAGCUAAUGAAAUGAAAUUUUCCUUAUGUAGCUUCUAAUUACAAAAAAAAUGAUUAAGGUAUCACUUUAAUUAACAAAUAAUCAUAAGAGAUGAAAAUAAACAUGAAAUUGAACAAUUAAAGCAUUUAAAUGAAAGUAAACAACCAAUAUUCAAGAAAUUAAAACAAGUAAGGACCUAAUUGAAACAAUUAUAGAAGUUUGAGGGGUCAAAUUAUUAUUAUUUCAAAUAUUAAGGGUUUAAAUUAAAAAAAAAUAAAAUUAAGGGCUUAAGAUGAAGCCUACCAAAACAAAAUGCUAACAUUCAUAAAAAUAAGUCAAAAUCCUCUCAUCAAACCCCAAAACAAAAAUACUACCCAAAUUAUAAUUAUUUUACUACUCCUUUCGUCCCAUUCAUUUGGUUAUACUUUCCAUUUUGGGAUGUCCCAAAACAAUUGUCAUGCUAGAAAAGUCAAAACAACUUUUACACUCUCUUUCCAAUAUAACCCUUCUUUUUAAUCAUACAUUCAAAUUUAAAAUUUGAAUUUGAGGGGUAAAAUUGGAAAGAGAAGCACAAACAUCACAAUCAAAUCACUAUUCUUAAAAGGUUGGAUUCCCCAAACAUAACCAAAUGAAUGGAACGAAGGGAGUAUAAUUCAAAUAAAAACUAUAAAUCUAUCAAAAAUUAUUAAACCUCAAAUUUCAUCCUAAAAUUCGUAAAUAAUCUGCCCAAAAAUCACAUUAGAGCAUUCCAAAGAAAAUUAGCAUUUUAAAAGGACAAAAUUGAUUAAUAUUUCCAAUUUUUUGGGUCAUAGUAGAAUUAAGUCAAAAUAUGGGGGUCAAAAUGAAAUUUUAGAAACUUUUCAUGCAAAAGCUUCAAAGAAGCUAUUUCUUCUUCUUCGCUCGUUUUUUCCUUCUGCAAUUUUGCAGCCUAUUCAACUGAGGUAUCUUAUGCAAUCUCAAACCAAGCCAGCAAACUCAUUAACCCAACCCAUUAAACUUCAAAACACUUUGAUUAACAAAACACAAAAUGCAGGAGACAAGUCAUUGAAGAUCAAACGAAGAACAAAAAUGGAAAAACAUGCAAUCAACCGAGAACAAAACCAGUUUUCUGGUGAAUCCAAGAUGGGUUUGUCAAAAGCUAACACCUUUCAGCCAAACCAUUGAACUAUCAAGUGUCAAACCGUCCUAAUCCUUUGACAAUUUCAAGUCAUCAAAAGCCACUUUCUCCAAAAACAUUAGGAACCAUGCGAAAAGAAAACAGAAUCCAAGAAACCCAUUUAUGAAAGAGAAAGCUCACACAAAUGGCCCCAAGAUCUCAUGAAAAGUGUUAAAGAAACUGAUAAGAGAAGUUAUUGUUAUCCAUAAAUGAUUGAGACGCCGAAUCUAUGCGAGAAAAACCAAAUGCAAUUCACCAGAAGUUCCGUCGCAGGCUUCCCAGGGUUGAUGAUCUCAUGACUUGGAGCUCUAAUUUGAAAGGGUUAACGGUGUUUGUUGGAGAAAAAUUCAUGAGAAAAGCUGUUUCCCUACACUUGUAUAUAAUAUAAAAGUAAAGAACUAGCUUAAAUGGUUAAAAUCGAAGCAAGAAUAUGGAUCCAAAUAGGGCUGCUGCAUCAACCCGGUACCAAAAUUUUCCAGAAAUUUUUCUGCUCUCGUUUCUCUCUUUCUCCUCUCAGAUUUCUCUCUCUUUUGCUGUUUUUUCUUUCUUCAGCCGCCUCUCCCCUUUCUUGCUCUCCCCGGAACCUCCUUUUUCCCUCCUCGCUCUUUCUCUUCUCCCUUUCUUUUUUCUCCUUUCCCUUCUUUUUCUUCCCAGCCGAAACUCUUUUUUCUUCCUCUUUCUCUUGCCCGAAGCUCCUCCUUUCUUCCUCCCCAGAUUCCCUCCUCUUACUCGAAGCCUCUGGUUUCUCUUCUCUGGGUCUGCUUCUCCCUUUCUUUUUUCUUUUCUUUCUUUGCCCGAAGUUCUCCUCCCAAUCUCUUUCACUUCCUCCCUUUCCUUGCUUCCUCUCUUGAUCCUCAGCCGUCACCUCCUCUCCACCUCUCCCUCUCUCGGUCUUUCUCUCCCUUAGUUUUUUCCUUUUUCCCUCUGCCUUGCCUGCAGCUCCUCUCCCUCUUUUCUUUUUUUUCUUCUUGUUUGUCUGUUCCG
rnacentral:lncRNA from 1 species